rnacentral:lncRNA from 1 species
UGUAUACAUAAGCUGUUUGGAUAAGUUGUCUUUGAAAAAAAUAUCGUAUAAGCUGUUUUGAAUAAGCUGUUUUUUUUAAAAGAGGUCAUAAUAAGUUGUUUUGUAUAAAUAAGCUGUUUUGAAUAAGUUGUUUUUUAAAAAAAGAUCGUAAUAAUUUGUUUUUCAUAAGAUAAGCUGAUUUUUAAAAAGAGGCCGUAAUAAGUUGUUUUGUAUAAAUAAGUUGUUUUUAAAAAGUGAUUGUUAUAAGCUUUUUUUUAUAAAUAAGUUGUUUUUUAAAAAUAGAUCGUAAUAAUUUGUUUUUCAUGAGAUAAGUUGUUUUGAAUAAAUUAGAAGUUAAAUUACGAAGUAUAACAAUGUAUUGAUUUUAAGAGGAAAAAGGGUAAAAUAGUAAAAUUAUAACAUAAGUCAUCUAUCUCCUUACCUUAUUGGCUUUUUAACUCCCAAACAAGGGGAAGGUUUUCCCUCCUUUCUCUCUUCCCUCCCUUUCCUUCCCUUCCCCUCCUUAGGGUCCGUUUGGUUCGCGGGUUUUGAAGUGGAGGGGAGGGGAAGGGAGGAAAUAUUUUAAAAAUUUUGUGUUUGGUUCAAUUUUUAGAAGGGGAGGGGAGGGAGAGGAAGGGGAGCAAAAUCCCUCAUAAGUUCAUUUAUUGCUCCCCCUCAAAUUGGAGUUUUUUGGAGGGGAGGAGAGGGAAAGAGAGAUGAGUUAAUGCAAUUUUAAUUACAUUGACAUAAUUAUCCUCAUGUUUAUUUUUAAAUGACAAAACCGUUCUUAUUAAAAAUUUAAGUGUUUUCAACGUAUUGUUUAUUACCAUAUUUUUUGUAACAUGCCAAUGUAAUUUUUUAUUUUUUUUUAUCGUGAACUGCAUAUUCUUGUCUUCUAAUUUUUUUUUAUGUGAAUUCACUUUUUUGACUAACGUUGCUUUUAUUUUUUUUAUUUUGAUAUAUUUAUUUUAUAGUUUUUAAUUGUAUUAUAUUAAAACAUAAUUAAUAAAAUUUGUAGAAGAUUUUUUUAUAAAUAUAUUUUAAAAAUAAUUUCUAACAAUAAAUUUUUUAUAAAUAUUUUUAUAUUGUACUAUAUUAUUUUAGAAGUGCUCUAAUAUUUAUGAAUACCUAAUAUUUUAUUAGAACUUUUGUGUUUGAUUAUUUAUGGAGUUUUUGGUUACGAGUUUUUAUAUUUAAAUUUUUAUGAAGUGAAUAAUAUAAAAAUCAUGAUAUUGUUUUAAGGUUAGAAGGAUAAAAAAGUAAUUUGGUUUUAAAAUCUCUCCCCUCCCUUUAUGAACCAAACACAUAUUUAAUUAAAAUUCAUUCCCUCCCCUUCCCUCCCAUCAUUUGAACCAAACAUAUAUUUAAUUGAUAUAUCUCCCCUUCCCUUUCCUCCCUUUCCCUCCCCUCCAUUAAAACCCCUCCCCUCCCCUUCCCUCCGUUGAACCAAACAGACCCCCUUUCCUUUCCUUCCUCUCAAAACUCGCAAACAAAGCCUUAGGGAAAAUCAGUUUCUAUAUAUGUGUUUUGGAUUUGAUAUAUCUAAAAUGUGUGUUUGUUUUUUUGCAUCGUUUAGUAGUUUCUUUCAUAUGUUGAAGAAGAUAUAGCUGGAUUACCGGUAGUUUCUUGGGAAGCAAGUAAGAAAGAAACAAUAAUGAAUUGAUUAAAUUUGAUCAUGAAAAUCGUUGACUCUAUUCACUCGUUUCUUUUUUUCACUAUCUUGAAUCAAUGGUGUAAAUUGGGAAAACAUAUUUUCGAAUCUUGUAGUAAGUCUCAUGUGUGCAGUCAUGGAAAUUGAACCACAAUGUUCAAAUGGUUUUAAUUGAUACAAUGAUACAUACACAUCUUUAUAGAUCAUAAAACAAGAAGAUAUAAAAUCAACUUGCAUGAAAAAAGUAUCACACCUUAUGACUAAAUCAAUAAAGACUGUGUUUGUGAGUCUUAUCUAGAAUUUGGUUAGAAUUUAAUAUAUUUUGUAACGAUCACGAUUUGAUGAGUUUAUGCACAUUAGUAGUGUUUUUAUUUUGCAACGAACAAGAUUUUACUUGCUUAUUGGGUUUUGUGGUGUAAGGUACCACUUUUUUGUUGCAUAAUACAGGAAUGAAGAAAUACAUGACUAACCCUGAUGCACAGGUUUUGUAUAAUUUUGUAUAUAAGUAUUAAAUUGACUGUAUUUUUACUUGCAGAGAUACAUUCAGUAUUAUGCUAUGAAAGGACGGCAAAAAGCAACAACUAAACCAAUAAAAAUGAAAAGGAAUUGGUAUGUGGUAAUUGAAAGGAAAAAAAAUCAAAAUGAACUUUUAUGUGGUAACUGAAAUAAAAAAUAAUGUAAAAAAAAACUGUCAUAAAAAAAAAAGGUUAAAUAUGUCUUUGGUCCCUACAUUUUACGCAAUUUUGAGAAUAGUCCUUACAUUUCAAUAAAAAAUUUUAAAAUCCCUACAUUUUUCCUUCGUUAGUGCAAUUGGUCUCUGCCGUCACUGCCAUGUUGAUGAAACACAAGCCAUCAUAACAAGUUCAACCCCACCCCACCAAAUCUCCACCACAUCACCUUCCACACCUGCAACAACAAGCACUUUCAACGAUAACAUCAUCGCUUUCGGCCUCCAAAUCUUCCCCACUAAACCAACAUAUUUCACUGGAAAUGUAACAAACACCGGCGAUCUGCAUCUACGACACUGCGGAGAAAGAUCGUGGUGAAGUUCCCCGUCGUUUUCCUGCGAGAUUGAACCGCCAACAUUGACAUCACGUUAGAAAUUUGACAACAGGGACUAUUUACGCUAACGGAGGAAAAAUGUAGGGAUUUUAAAAACAUUUAUUGAAAUGUAGGGACUAUUCUCAAAAUUGCGUAAAAUGUAGGAACCAAAAACAUAUUUAACCCUAAAAAAAAAGGUUAAAUAUGUUUUUGGUCCCUAUAAAUAUAUCGAUUUUUCAUUUUAGUCCCUCUAAAAUUUCCUUCAACUUUUAGUCCCUCAAAUAUUUUCCAUAUUCACAUUUGGUCCCCCCUUUAAAGUAAACUCAUAUUUUUGAAUAAAAUUUUGCAGAAAAAUUCAUAAUAUUAUAAAAAUCUCUCCCAAAAAAAUAAUUUUUUUUUAACAACACAUGAUUUUAAUAUGAAUUUUUAUAUUUUUGACGGUUAAUAAUUCAUAUUUAAUUUAUGUUUUGUUAAAAAAUUCUAAUAUUUUUGGGGAAAGAUUUUUGGAAUAUUCUACAUAUUUCAUUAAAAAAGUUACUAAAAAAUAGGGAACAAAAGUAGUGAUUGAAAAUUUUAUAAAGACUAAAAGUUGAAAGAAAAUUUUAGAAAAUCUAAAACGAAAAAUUUAAAUAUUUAUAUAGACCAAAAACAUAUUUAACAAAAAAAUCACUAAUAAUGAAAAAAAACUGCUACCCGACAAGGAACUGCUAUGGUAUUAGUGGCUUAAAAGGUUUUGUUACCGUGUACUAUCUAAUAUCUAUUUUGAAAGCAAUAAUAUUUCAACUAAAAUAGAAGUGACUUGGUGGUUAAAGUUAUGAAAUGUUGUCAUAUGAUAUUUGGUACUAUUCCUUCCAAACAACUUUUUUUUCAUAAAAAUUCAAUUAGAACCGCCAAAACAGGCGGAAUUAAUAUUGGGGCAAACUUAUUAAAAUCUUUAUUAUAAUAAAGAUAUGUCCUAUAAUUAAGUCAGAUUUGAUUCAAAUACAUUUUACUUUGUGUAUGUUUUAUGUCUUAAUGUUUGACCAAAUAAAUUUAAUAUAAUAAAGAUAAAGGUAUGUACUGUAAUUAUGUUUUAUUAUAAUAGAGAUAUGCCGUAUAGUUUAGUAAGAUUUGAAUCAAAUAGUAACUCCCUCCCUAAUUAUAAGACCCUUUUGAGAAUUUUUUUUGUUCCUUUUUAUAAGACCCCUUUGCUAUUUCCAACUACAUUAAUUAUUUCUUUACAUACAUGCCCCUAUUUAUUAUACAUCUUUUUCUUCAAUCACCAAUAAAUAACAUGUUGAAAACAUAAACCAAUCCUCUUUCUUAAAGGAUAAAAUUGUAAAAACAAUAGUAAUUACAAAAAUAUUUAAUAUAAAUAUCCACUAUCUUAAUUCCAGUUAUUUUUCCAAAAGGGUCAUAUAAUUAGGGAUGGAGGUAGUACAUUUUAUUUUGUGUGUUUUAUGUCUUAAUGUUUGACCAAAUAAAUUUAAUAUAAUAAAGAUAAAGGUAUUAUGUACUAUAAUUAUGUAAGAUUUGAGUCAAAUACAUUUUAUUUUGUGUAUGUUUUAUACUACCUCCGUUCCUUUUUAAUUGUCACUUUUUGAUAUUUUACAUAAACCAAAACACUCAAUAAAUGUUACUUUUUCCAAUACUUUUUAUCUUAAUGUUUGACCAAAUACAUUUGACUUUUUAGAAAUUUUUUAUAACAAUUUGAUUUUUUUUUUAGCAAUGUGAUAUAUAUAGAAUAUUAUUUAAAUGGGAUGGUUGUACGAAUUAAUUUAAUUACACAAGACUUUGAAUCUAUUUAAAUUUACAUUUAGUUGACUAAGUAUUUGAAUGUUUUCUUUAAAAAAAAUUUAUUAUCGGAGAUCUCAAGCUAAUAUCACUAGGUCAACCCAAAUAUUUAAAAUAUUAUUACAUUUAUGAAGUUUUAUGUAUUUUUUCCUCAAAAUCUUCUAUAAAUACAUAUGUUUUUUCUUCCUACAUAUAUCCAAUAUUAUUCACUUCCAAAGAAAAGAUUAAUAACCAAAGGUGCAAUGUCUCUAUUUAUCCAAAAAAUUAUUUUGCUAUGUGCGUUGAUUUUGUUAUCACUGCACAAUAUUCAUGGAAUACAUGUGAAUAUUCAUAACUCUUUGGAAGGAAGUUUGGACUUAAUUGUUCAUUGCAAAACUAUGGAUGAUGAUUUCGGAGUCCAUCCUCUGCAUCCUGGUGAUAACUAUGGUUUCAGUUUCAAUGAGAAAGUUCUUUUCGACAGCCCUUGCUCCUUUGGAUGGAAUGGUGAGACACAUAGUUUUAAUAUUUACCAUGCCAGUAAUUUACGUAAAAGUAAUUGCGAUGAUUGCAAUUGGAAUAUAUUCAAGUCAGGACCAUGUAGAAUUCAACAACAUGGGGAUCCUAUAUGCUUUCCGUUUGAUAACUGAUCGAUAAUACAUCUUUUUCAUUUUAAUAAAUAUUGUUUUCAAGGUGUAGAGAACUAUUAUCUCAAAUAAAACUUAUAUGCAUCUCUAUUGUUUAUCUUCAAUCUUGUUUGUGUGUUGAUUUUCACUUAUGAAGAAAACUAAUUGAAAAGGAAAUAAAAAGUCACUGGAAAAGUAAUAAACAUACUAUCAAGCUAAAAAUAAGAGCAGAGGCAUCAAGGUGAGGGAAAAAUAGUGAUGCUAUCUAAGAGUAGCACAACAAAAAGUUUCAAUAUCUGCACAAUCUUGUUGUCGUUCAUAGACUUAUUAACACUCCACUCUAAAAAUGGAUCAGAUCAAAGAGUUUUUAAUGGAAACACAAAACAAGUAAGGAAGCAUUGAUCUCAAAACGAUGCCAUCGCAAGCAGCCAAUCACUAAGAUUCUACCGCAUACCACCACCGUCUUCUGUUUUUCUCAUCUUUAUCUAACCAUGUUCAAAACAAAGCAUUUGAUCACAAUUGAUUGGCAAACACAUUGCCCUCAACGACACUGUUUCAGCAAUGAAAUCCAAAUCAAACGACCACAAUGCAAACAGGCAUGAACUCAACAAUCGCCGCAACAGUCUCACCAAUAAUCAAACACAAAACGCAAAAAACUGCACAAAACAAAGCAUAAAUUAAGAAUAUCAAAAAGUGAUUAAUGAGAAUCAAAACUAAAAAAAAUUAAAAAUUAAAACAAACCAGAGUUUUCAAGAGCCAAGUGAUUAUAGUGGUUGAUUCGUUUAGACAAAGUUGAUCUAAUAGAAAUUUACCGCAUACCACUACUACGGCAUAAUGAGCCCUUAGUCCAUUUUUGAAACAGAAAUAAUAUUUGUACAACACCAUUUUAUGAUUACUUUUAGACAAGUCUCUCAUACUCAUAUUGUUUUUUUACUCUCACUUUUUUUUUUUUUUUAUCUAUUGUUUUUAACUAUUAAGAAAGAAAAAAAAUAUUAACUCAAUAAUUGUUUUUAACAUUACUCUUUCCAAAAGUAUCGAUCUUUGUUUAGUAUUACUAAUUUUCAUCGGACAAUUCUUCAAGUUUAAUCAUAUUUUCUUUAUACACAUAUCUCAGCUGUCAAAAAACAUUUUUUACAUAAAAUUAAUAUAUUUCAGUUUUAUAAAAAAAAUCAAUCAAUUACAAUGAUAAAAAAAUGGUCAAUUAUUUAUCCCACAAAAAUGUAAAAAGGAAAAUGAUGAUACAAAUAAUAAAAUAAAUAAACCAAGCUUGUGUGCUGUGUAUGUCUAUUUAAAGGUGGCUAGGUAAGUCACUUAUCUACACCACUCGAGAGUUUCAUUCAAACAGUUUUCAAAAAGGGAAAGGUUCAAGAAAGAGAGAGAGAAAAUGUCUUCAUCUGGAAAUGUGAAAGAGAAAGAGAGUAAGAAUAUGUCUUCUUCUUCAUCAGUUACUGGGAAUGUGAAUGGUGGGGUUACAGAUGAACAAAACAACAGCGAGUCGGUGCUGCGACAAUUCGACCUGAACAUGGAUUAUGGGCCUAGCAUUGGGCUGACGAGGCUGGAACGAUGGGAGCGUGCAAAGAAGUGGGAUAUGAAUCCUCCGCAGGAAAUUAAGGAACUGAUCUUGAAGAGUGGUAAUGAUCAGCAAGAAGGCCUAUGGAACAAACGCGUUUAGAAGGCUUAGAUGUUAGUAUAAUAUAUAAUCUUGUUUCUUGCUGUUAGUUAUAAUAUAAUCUUGUUUCUUUAUGGACCUUUUUGUUUAGAUUUUUCUUAGGGAAAAUCAGUUUCUGUUAGUGUGUUUUGUUUUACAAGUUUUAUCAAAUGUUAAUUGGCUCUUAAGUGAAUGUUGCUGGUUGAUAUGAUAGAAACUUCUAUAUAUGUGUUUUGAAAAAUCAUUUUCUGUUAGUGUGUUUGUUUUUGUGCAUCGUUUAGUAGUUUCUUGGGAAGCAAGUAACAAAGAAACAAUAGUGAAUUGAUUAAAUUUGAUCAUAAAAAUUGUUGACUCUAUUCACCCUUUUCUUUUUUUCACCAUAUUGAAUCAAUGAUGUAAAUUGGGAAAACAUAUUUUCGAAUCUUUUAGAGUCUCAUGUAUGCAGUCACGGAAAUUGAACUACAAUGUUCAAAUGGUUUUAAUUGAUACAUGCAUACACAUGUUUAUAGAUCAUAAAACAAGAAGAUAUAAAAUCAACCCUUGCAUGGAAAAAGUAUCACACCUUAUGACUAAAUCAAUAAAGACUGAGUUUGUGAGUCUUAGCUAGAAUUUGAUUCGAAUUUAACUAGCUUAUUGCAUGAUCAUUAUUAAUAUAUUUUGUAACGAUCACGAUUUGAUGAGUUUAUGCACAUUAGUAGUGUUUUUAUUUUGCAACGAACAAGAUUUUACUUGCUUAUUGGGUUUUGUGGUGUAAGGUACCACUUUUUUGUUGCAUAAUACAGGAAUGAAGAAAUACAUUUUUUUUUUUUUUUGAAUAAGGAAUGAAGAAAUACAUGACUAAUCUUGUUUAUUAGAUUUACAAUUUUUUCUUGGGGAACUGUUACUUCUAAGCAAUUUGGGCCUAAAUCUAUUUUUCUUGUGUCAAUUUGGAUAUAACUUAUCAUUGCAACUAGGAAAAUUUUACUCUGCACUGUUAAUUUUUAAUUCAAGUUAGCUGAGAUAAGUUCAAGUUAGUUGAGAUUAUAAGUAGCUAAAAUUGUUAGUUAAUGUUGUUAGCUAUUUUUGUGCAAGUUAGUUAGUUUUUAAUAAUUACUUGUAGAGCAAGUAAUGUACACAUUUACUGAAAUUUUUUAGGCUUAAUUGAUCUGCCGGUCCCUUAAUUUAUUUCUUUUAUUCAAUUUGGUCCUAUAAGUCUUAACUUUCUCAAACACGUCCCUUAACUGAUUUCUUUUAUUCAAUUUGGUCCAAUUUUGAUAAUUUUAAUCCCAUAAAAAAAAAGACCGUUGAAUUACGGAGGUCUAUCAGAUUUUAUAGUGUAUCAUCAACACCUAAUUUAUUUACUUUCUUCUUCUUCCAUCAUCUUCAUCUUCAUCUUCAUUCAUCCUUCAAUCAUCUUCAUAAAAAACCAAGAUUCAAUUCCAAAUCACACUCUUCCAAUUCCAUUCUCUAGAUUCAUCAUCAAUUCUCAUCUCUGCAAUCCCAAAUUCCCCAAUCCAAUCCAAAUGGUACAAAAAAAAAAAAAAAACCCUUUCCCAUAGCUAAAGAACACCAGCAAGGCAAGAUCCCAAACAAAACAGAACACAAGCUCACAAAACCACCCUUGGAACAUAAACACACCACAAAAGGAGAAGAAACACAAAAAUCAAAAAUCCAUAAAGAAGCAAAACCUCAAUAAAAAUUCCAGAAACAACAACACAUAAACAACAACCUUCAUAACCUCUCAAAUCAAAGAGCUCCAUUUCACGACAAUCAAACACAAAAAUCAAACUCAGUUUUCUGCAUGAACAGCUCCAUUUCACGACAUCCAUUACCAGCUCAAAAUGAAUCGUUACAUUCGAAACCAAACUCAAAAAGGUAGGAGUCAUCCGUGAAAAGCCUUAAAACGUCGUUUUUUUCGCGUCAUCACCGGACUUGUUGUUAUUAUUUGGUUCCAGAUCUGACAGGAGCAAGGAGGGUUUGAGUUUGGGGGAAGAAAGCGGUGGAGUUGAUGAUGAGUGUGAGUGGGUAAAUGGAAUUGAAAUAGAUUUUGAUGGGAAUAUAAAACGGUUUGAAUAUGGAUUGUGGAUGGCUGUCUGGAAUUUUCUUCACAAAAAAGUGACGAGUAUUGGUGAGAAGAAUUUGUUGAUCUUCGAUAUGGGAGGUGAUGAAGGUUGUUGGAGUGUGUUGAUGAUGAUAAAUGAAGAUGACAAUGAUGGUGGUGUAGUGAUUAAAUAAUUGGUUUAAAUUUUUUUGUCCUGGGUUUUAUUGAUGAAGGAUGAAUGGAUGGAGAUGAAGAUGAUGGAAGAAGAAGAAGAAAGUAAAUAAAUUAGGUGUUGAUGAUACACUAUAAAAUCUGAUAGACCUCCGUAAUCCAACGGUCUCUUUUUUUAGGGGAUUAAAAUUAUCAAAAUUGGACCAAAUUGAAUAAAAGAAAUCAGUUAAGGGACGUGUUUGAGAAAGUUAAGACUUAUAUGACCAAAUUGAAUAAAAGAAAUAAAUUAAGGGACCGGCAGAUCAAUUAAGCCAACUUUUUAAAAGAUAAUAAACCUUCAUUGAAAAAAACACAUAUUCUUGAUCCAUUUGUUUUAGUAGUGAUACAUGGACACUCAUAUAUAGGGUAUACCCAUUUUAUACCAUUGAGCACCUUCUUAUCGGGUACAUGAUACAUCCAUUUGACUACAAAUUUAGGUGAUUUGGAACAUCUGCAACAAACUACAAAUGAUCCAAAUUCAAAUAUAUGUCACUAAGUGUAGCUAAAAGUUAGCCAACAAAUAUACUAAAUUAGUACAACUAUACAAUACAUGCUUAAAACUACUACGAUAGUGAAUGAAGUAUAAUCAAAAUAAAUUAUCAGAAGUCAGAACAGAGCUAAUGGUAGUUCUAAAGAUUAAAUCUAAGGAAAAAUUUCCUUUAAUAUUGUGACUUAUCUAAACUGAAAAUGCUUGUGUCCCAUAACUUUAUCUCCAUGAAAUGUUUUAUGAUUUGCAGAUGGCAAAACAAGGUUAGACUUGUAUGCCUUUGAUACAAUAUUAAAUAUUUGUGCCAAGCUUGGUUGCUCUUUGCUUGAUUGGUCUAUGCACAUUAAUCCUAGGGAUAAAGCCUGUUUAACUUGAUGCAAAGUUGUUUCAGUAACAUUUAUUCUCUCAUCAACCAUUUGUUGCAUUUCUGAAAGACGAAGAGUUCUCAUGUAGCUAAUAAAACCGGCAUCAUCUCCAUCAAAGUCCUCUUGAACGCUCUUGUUUAGUAUCAUCUCCAGCAGAAAUACUCCAAACUUACACACCUCUAUAAUAUAAUAAAAGUAAUUAAUUCAAUAACGAUAUAAGACAUAAAAACAAGGAAAAGGAAAAAAGAAAAAAUAUCAUUUUGGAAGAAAUCUUGAUUGCGCAUGGUAAUUGUCUAUUACUAGCAGAAAGACGCGCACAUUCCUAUUCAUAUUUUUUGUUUUUGACAUUAUGUGUAUAUUUGAAGUGUGGAGGGUAAUCUGCCUUAAUCUAACGUGCGACUCUCAACUAUUUGAAAGAAAUUGUGCGCACCAAAACAUGAUAUUGCCAUUAUAAAUUAAUAAAGUGAUAGAGAUUCUUACUUCUUCUACUGUUGUUUCUUUCUCCAACUUGAAACCUUGAAAUCAAUGGUUCUAGUUUAUCAGAUAACAAAACACUACUUGUCUUGAGAUCGUAAUCAACUUCAGGCCACUCCUCAUGAAGAUAUAGCAUGCAUUCAACAACUCCCAUCAAAACUUUCACUCUAUGAUUCCAUGAUGGACUUGCCCCUGAUAGCCACAUUUCAACAUUUUCUUCUUCUGUCCAUUCUGUUAUAAUAGCCCUGAAUUUUCUACCUUUACACCAUCCUAAAACCUUAACAAGAUUCUUGUGAUUUAACUCAGACAGAAUCUUGCAUUCCUCAACAAAUUUAUGAUAGCUAUCCCUUGAUAUAUCAUCCCAAUACAUCUCAAUUUUCACUUCAGUUGCAUCUCUUAACACCCCUUUGUAGAUAUGGACAAUAUCACUCUUACCAACCAAAUUUUUGUUCGAAAAACCACAAGUUGCAGCCUCAAGAAUUGCUGGUGUAAAUGUAUAUCCUCUACUACUUUGAAGUAUUCUUGGCAGAAAAUCAGGUCUUUGAAAACAAAGCCAUCCCAAGAAAAUUACCAUCAAAAUGACAAGAAUAGGAAAACCAACCAAUAAAAUGAUAGCUUUUAUAGUAAACUUUUUGUGAUCAACAAGAGCACCAGAAUGAAGAAAACUAGAAGCAUUAAACUUUUUGAAGAAUUGUGAAUCAGAAAUUUCACUCUCUGAGAAACAGUUAUAAGAAAGGUUAAGAAAAGUGAGGUUAGUUAGUGAAGAGAAACUUUGAAUUGGAAUUUCACCAGAAAACUCAUUGAUACCUAAAUCAAGAGACUGAAUUUGUGUGCAAUAAAGAACAUCAUUUGGAAAACCACCCUUUAUAGAAUUGUUGGAGAAAUCAAUGGAUUGAAUACUCAAAGGACAAUAUUUCCAAAAGAAAGUGAAAGACAAGUAAAGAGAUGCAAUGUUUGGCCGGUUACGAAGAUCAAUUUUAGGAAAUGAUUCAACACAAUUGGGGUUGUUAGAUUCAUUGCAUAGAUGACUAGCAACAAUAGUGUGUUUGAAUAUUUCAUCAAGGUCAACCAUGGGGGAGGAAGUGCAGUAUCUGAGAGAAGGGUUUUUGAGACAGUUGUUGAAAAUGGUAGUGUUGAAAUCUGGUGGUUUGUGUAAGUUUUUGAGGUCUUCUAGGACAGUUGCACAUAAUGUUGUUUUAGGACAUAACAACGAUGAUAAAAUUAUAGGAACAAAGAUGAAGCAAGUUGAUGAAAUGGUGGUAGCCAUGAUUAUGAAUGUGUUACUAUCUAGGAUGGAUGAUUUCAGAACAACAACUGGUAAAGGAAACUAAUUUAGUGAUGAUGUGGAAUAACUGUCAUUAUUGUCACUUGUUGCAACCGUAACCCAAUACAGAACUGUAAGGACUAAACAAAUUAGUAGUGAUUAAAUAGUCAAUUUCCCCCCUGAAAUUGUAAGUAUCGUCAAUUACCCCCCGAAAUUAACAAAACUUCAAUUAUCACCCUGAAAUUGCAUAACGUUAAUCAAUUUACCCCUCCGUCAAAUUUUUUUGUUAACUGUUUACGGUUAUGAUCAAAUACCCCCUGAAAUUUUGCACUUAUGCGCAAAAUGUCCCAUAAACUUAAAAAUUUAGAUUUUUUUCUUAUCAAAAAUCAUACAUUUAGUUCUUCAAGUAGUAUAUUGUACCUAUUGUCAUAAAUAUUCUAUUCACAAAAAAAUGAAUGAAUAUAUGCCAAAGAAAUCAUGGUUUUGUCAUGUGGAGUCUUUUCAUUUAUAUUUCAUAUUUAUCAACAAGUCUUGUUUCUUCUUCCUUCUGCAGAUAUAAACAUAUGCAUUUUCUUUAUGGACACACAAUUAUCAAAGACUUGUGUACUUUAUGACUACAUACUCUAACAUAAUUACCAACUUGUGUAAAAAAAAAAAAAACUUCUAUAUAUGUAUAUAUUUAAAACACAUGAGAGUAACAUAUCUUCUAUAAAGAUUUAUAUGACCAAUAGCUCCAUAAACAUACAUUACAUACAUAUUUAUAUGAUCAAUAAUUGUUAAUUUGUUUACCUUUAAUAUAUUUUUAGUCAAGGAUAAAAAAAUAUAAAUUUUUAAGUUUAGAGGGCAUUUUGCACAUAAGUGCAAAAUUUCAGGGGGUAUUUGAUCAUAACCGUAAACAGUUAACAGAAAAAUUUGACGGAGUGGUAAAUUGAUUAACGUUAUGCAAUUUCAUGAGGGUAAUUGAAGUUUUGUUAAUUUUAGAAGAAUAAUUGACGAAACCUACAAUUUCAAGGGAAAAAUUGACUAUUUACUCAAUUAGUAGUAGUAUUCUUUCAAAAAAAAUUAGCAGUAUAGUAUAUUUUUUGCUAACGCUGCUUCAAAUAAGUAAUAUUAGGUGAGAUUUAAGUCUGGACUUAAAUCAAUAUAAGAGAAUUAAUAUUAAUAUUUUGAUAACUCAUAGAAAUUAGUCUUUGACAACCCCCCACCCCCCCCGUGACUUCAAGUUAUAAAUAUUAUAAAACCUUUUUGAUAGAGGGGUGGAAAUGGUUUAGUAAAAAAAAAUAGAAAUUGAACUGAAUAUAUAACCUUUUUUAUUUUCAUUAUUUUACUUUGUUUUAAUCAUUAUAAAUGUAGGAUACUAAUUAAUUACGAGGAAGGUCAUCAACGCAUAUUUUUCAACACAUUUUCUUUGAUUGGUUAAAAUUCACAUGAGUCCCCAAAUUAUGUGGGUUCCAUAUAAAUUUGUUGGGUCUCAUGUGAAUUUUAACAAAUCAAAGACAAUGUGUUAAAAUGUGUGUUGCUAGCAUUUCUCUACUAAUUAUAUAUAUGAUAAUAAUUGAAAAAAUAUCAUUAUAACGAUAACUAAAUAAUAAUAUUAAAAUUGUUCCAAAAAAUAGUAAUAUUAAAAAACUUAUAACAAUAAUUUUGAAUAAAACAUUCAUUUCAUUAAUGAUUAUUAGUGGAUUGAUAUACGCCGACCGAAUAAAGAACAAAUAUAUAUGCAUUAACAAGUUUGAUCUUUGGCAAAAUGUGGACUGGUAUAGGUCAAUUGAAUAAAGAACAAACGUCUAAAUGCCAUAAUAGAUUUGACGUUUGAUGCAUUGUGGAUUGGUAUGGACGAUCAUACCAUGUGGCUUGUAAUAUCUUAACUUGAUUGGCUAGCAAGAUCCAACUCAGAUUUAACUAUGCAAGUCAUGCCAGCUCACAUCGCCCAACUCAGCAUUGGCUUGACUGUUCAAAUCAUGCUAGCUCACCUCUUCCUCACUCAACAUUGGUUUGGUUUGAAUUUUCAAGUCAUGCCAAAUCACAUCAUCUACAAGAUCUCACUCAACAUUAGCUUGAUUAUUCAACUCACACCAACCAUGCCAAAUUCGGCUAUGCAUAUAAACUUGUUGUGGUUCCGUUCAAGCUUAUCAUGACCUGCCACGCAACAAAGUGACAUAAGUUAUGUAUGCCCUGAUUCUACGUGUCAUGUACGAAUAAUUAAUGUGUCUAAAAACGAGUCUCAGUUUCAUGUUCCUUGUACGGAUGUGUUGAAACCUUGUUCAUGCACAGUCGUACUCGUACCCGACAUCCAAUGAAAGACUUUGGAUCAUAACUUAAUGAGCUUGAACAAUGUAUUAUCGUUUGAGUCUUAGAAUGUUCUUGGAGCUCCAUCGAAGUAGCUCCUCUGAACAACUCAUAUGUUGUAAUUUGUAUUUACAUACGUGCCCAAUUAUAUUUAUGCUCUUAUACUAUUUUGAAGGAAAAAAACUUUUUUUACGAUAAAUAUUAGUAUUUAUUUGUUAGGUUUACUUUUUACCUUUUUGUUUGGGUUUAAACCAAGAUCUCUAAUUCAUUAUAACUUAGCUUAAAUAAAUUGAGAUGUCCGACUCCGACCCCACCAUUUUGAAAAUUUGAAGUAGUACUUGGUAAAAAAAAAAUUAUACCAAAUAUUGCUAUUUAUUUUAUGUAAUAAUAAUCUUGCUCGAUGUAUGAUUGUAUGAUUUUAGAGUUUGUACAACUCUUUCGAAUAACUUUUAUGUCAAUUUUGUUUUUCUCUCAUUUGACCAGUCAAAAACUAUAGAGAAGGAAAAAAAAAAAAAGAGCGAAUAAAACAUAAUUUAAAUAUAAGAGAGAAAUUUAUCAAAAAAUUAUUGUACAGAUAUCAUUUAUCAUGAUUUUAUGGCAAUUUAAAUAUGAAAUGAUACUAAAAUAAUUAAAUAAACCAACCUUGUGGUCUUUUUAUUGAAAUUGAAAAGGAAAAAAUACGUGGUUAUUUAAAGGUGGGGUCAGUGGUGCUUUAGACAACCCGAGAAUUUCAACCAUUUUCUUCAAAUUCAAAAUUCGAAAGGAGAGAGAGAGAGAGAGAGAGAAUGUCUUCAUCGGUAUCUGGGAAUAUGAAGGGCUUCUACAAGCAGAAGAAAAACACCAAUCUCACCACCACCGCCAAAUCAUCCAAGUCCAUAAAACCUCCAACUCACGCCUCCACUUCACCAUCCCUCAACACCAACCCAGAUCUCCAAGGUUCAAUUUGAUUUCUAGGGUUUUCUCACCCCCAAUCACCUUCAUCUUUUAUUAAUUUCAUAUAUUUUAUUUUUCUAAUAUGAUUUGGUUGCGGUUACUACAGAUGAACACAACGGCAGCGAGGCUGUGCUUCGACAAUUUGACAUGAACAUGAAGUAUGGGCCUUGUAUGGGGAUGACGAGGCUGGCACGCUUGGAGCGUGCUGUGAAGCUUGGUUUGAACCCUCCGGAGGAAAUCGCGGAACUCUUGAAGAGUGGUAAAGUUCAGCAAGAAUCACUUUGGGACACUCGCAUUUAGAACGCUGCUUAAAUGUAAUAAUCUUGUUGUAGCUUCUUCUGACUUGUUUGUUUGUUUAGGUUUUGCUUAGGGAAAAUCACUUUCUUGCUGUGUCCCCUUUCCCUGGUAGUAGUAGUAGUAUGUUUUCUUAUGUGACUCGAUAUCUUGUUGUUCUGUUCUGUUCUGUUCUUAUGCUGUUAAUUGUGCAAUUGAUACAUGCUGUUUGAGGGAGUAAAUUCGAAGUCGGAUACUUGUAUUUCAUGAUUAUUGACAAGAAAUGAAAUUGAAAAAGAGGAAUAUAAAUGGCCCUCCAAUGCAUAUGAACUUAACUAGAAUCUGGUUCGAACUUACUAGCUUAUUGCAUUUACAUCAUUAAGUGUUUUUAGUAUUUUGCAACAAACAUCAUUUUACUAGCUUAUUGGGUAUUAUGGUAUAAGGUACCACUUUUUUGAUGUACAAUAUAAAAGAGGAAAUACAGUAAAAAGAGACUAACUAUGAUUAAGCAAUUCUGAAAACUGGGGUUUAUAUCUUGUUGUAGAUUCACCAAUUUUUCUUGCUUAUACAAGCUUAAGCAUAUAGUAUAAAUGAAUCAUCAUCUAACGGAACUGCUAGUCCUUAAGCCAAUUCUUUGUAUUUGAGGUGAUGACACCACAGGUUCAGACACGCAAAACUAAAAGAAGUCAAAACAGAAAUUGAAUAAAAAUCCCAGCACUAGAAGAAAUGUUAAGACCAAACUUGGCAAAACAAUCAACAACUUUAUUAACUUUCCAAUGCACAUGAAUAACAGACCAAGAAGACAACUGCUCGAGGAGAUCCCUAAUCUGGAUAACAUGGCUGGUGUAAAUCAAAGCCAUUAGAAAUAAGGACAGUGCUGAUAGAGAAUCAAACUCCACCUUGAUGAGCUCAAAGUCAAAUACCAUUACCAUUCCGAAGUUGUUAGGGCUCCAUGAUCAGUAACAAAACUAUCACCAUUGAUUUUAACAAAACUAUCCUUAGGGACACUCUAAACGAACACAUUUCACCCAUUUGAAUUAACCGGAGAUUGAGAGAAAUAAAAGCUCCAGUUGAAUCAAACUAUGUCAUAAAAAAUUGUUGCUUCCUCACUGUAGAUCAUUUCUACAGUUUCUACAGUGAGGAAUUGGAGGCAUGUCGAUCAUCAAAUAUGGAUAUAACAUUUCUUCAAUAAAGUCUUAACUGGAGCAACAAUUCGCCAAAUAUGGAUAUAACAUUUCUUCAAUAAAGGAAUUGGAGGCAUGUCGAUCAUCAAAUAUGGAUAUCGUUCCUAGUUAUAGUUCGAAAAUUUGAUUCGUAAGAUUGUGAGAGUCAAUUCCUUUAAUUUGACUCAACCGCAUUAGUGCAAGAACUUUUUAAAAUAAAAAUUUAAUAUAAUUAAUAAUAUACGUUGAAAAUAAUAUUUAACAUAAACAUUACGCGUGAAUUCGGGUCCUUUAUUUUAAUGGCAGUCCCCUUGAACCGACUUGGUUUUUUUUUGAAAAAUUAUUAGUUUUUAGAUAUGAAUUCGGGUCAAUGACAUUAUUCUUACCUUACAAAAAUAAUCAAUAGUAAUGUACUACUAUAUGGAAAUAAUUAAUAGAAGUAGUUCUAAAAGUACAUAGGUAAAUUUAUCACAUCAAAACCAGCAGCAUCUUUUUAUGUUAAAAUUAAAACCAUAGCAGUUUUAUCGAAAUAAUAAAUAUUUGAUACCUACGAGAAACAACCACCGAUGGUGACAUUUUCCGUUGGUGGCUGCGACGACGGUGAAGGACCUAGCAACCCAAAUCAGAAGCGUCGAAGGGUCGACGCCGGUGAAGAAGUCGCAGCAGCAACAACUACAAGAGAAGAAGAAGAAGAAGAAGAAAAUCAACAACCUCAAGAAGGGUUUGAAAUGGAAAAUCCCCCAAUUGAAACCCUAGAAAAUGAUGCAAAUGAAAGAAAUUCGGUUGGAUCCAACGCGGGACAACAGAAUAAUGAUCUGAGUAAGAAGGUUUCUGCUAUCAUUUCUGAUCCUGAUGUUCUUGAUUGCUUCAUUUGCUCUGAACCGUUGGCAGUUCCUAUUUAUCAGGUUAGUUUCUCUUCUGGGUGUUCUGUUUUGACUAGAAAUCUUGAAUUUUUUUGCUGUGAUUUUUUGUUUUUGUAUGAAUUAUUUGAUUUGUGAUGGAAGAUUUAGGUUAGUGAUUUUAUUGUGAGUUGGAAUUUGGGUGAAGAAGUUUCCUUUUGAAAAGGAUUUCAGAAAUUUCACAUCCAUAGCAAGUCAAUUGUAAUCAGCUCUGGCGGAUUGAUGAAUUCAACCGCUGUAACACACAACCAAUCCAUGAACCCAAACCCAAUGCCUUGAGAUUCGAGGAUAAAUUGUUAUGGCAGGUCUACUUUUGUGAUUUUACUGUAAAAAGUUCAUUGGAUGUAGGUGUGUGGUGUUUUGGACUCCCCUUUUAAAGGCCAUGGUUUAAGCGUGGCUGAAAAAUUACACAGUCAAGUCCAAAACACCACACACCCACACCCACACCCAUAUCCAAUCAACUUUUUACUGUAAAAUCAAUGUGGAAGGAUGUAACAUCCAAUGUGGGCCUGUGUGGUGUUUUGGACUACCCUUAAUGUAAUGAACUUAAUUGAGUAAGUUGUUAUACUUAUGCCUGAAAUGUGGCUGAGAGAGGGUCAAUUUGUUGGCAUAGGUGUUUAUAUAGACACAUUUCUUUCUGUAUUUUGAAGGUUCAAAAGGAACGAUUUUGUUGAAUAUAAACCUCGAAUUCAAAGUUCUGUUUAUGAGUGUUAAUUUGUGAAUCAAAAUCAAUUGCUAUUUGCUACAUAGAUCUGAUACUCUAUUCUGAGUUCUAAAGGUUCUAGCUGCAUAAUGCUAUUUCUUAGCACUAUUGUUUUUAAUAUAUUCACCUGCAUCAACAAAUAGGUUGAGAUACACUGUAGUUUGUUGAAUGGUAGUCAGUAGUCUUCAUCGUUACCAUGAAUUAAUUUCUAUGGCAAACUUGCAACUCAAAUUUAAACAAAAUACAAAAUUAACUUUGUCAUGGGCGAUAUAGGUAAAUGAUUUAGGGUCUCAUAACCAUAUAGCUGAUGUUUUGCGAUAAACUCUUAACGACUUGAGCUCAUAUAAUUACAAUGGAAAACAGUCUUAAUUGCUAGAUUUUUUUUUUUUUAAUAAGCCGUUCUUUACUGAUGUGUGACUGUAGUUGAAUUCGCUGUGAAGAUGAUUUUUUAUCUUCAAUACUUACUAAAAUUUCUACUUUAUGCAUUCCUUGUGCUCAGAGUUGUUGAUCACAUGGUUUGUUGUUUGUUUUAAUGUUUAAAUUUGAAUUGAUGUUUUCUUUUGAAGUACAAUAGUAUGAUGGUGACCUCACAUUAUGAUUCAUGUCAAUUUUUCAAAAAAGAAAGAAAGAAAGAAUGUCAUUGUUCAUUGAUAAUGUUUUAUGUGGUUGCUGUAAUUUAAAGGUAAUCAAUAAGAGAAGGAGGAGGAAUUUACCUCCUCCCUUCCCUUCAAAAGAAAGGGAGGGAGCUCUCUUUGAUUAUUUGCCACUUUUUUUUGUAUGUUCCUUUGGUUUUCUAUCUGGCUACUUCAACAUGCAAGCCUUUCAAGGGUACUUUUUUUUAUUGUUUGGUUUGAUGCCCCAUGUAAUGAGAGAUCUAAUUUGAUAACUUUCUUUGUGAUUAAAUGACAAUUCAGUGUGAGAAUGGGCAUAUUGCUUGCUCUAAAUGUUGUGGCGAACUUAGGAACAAAUGUCCUAUGUGUUCAAUGCCCAUUGGGUACAAUCGUUGUCGGGCUGUGGAGAAGUUGCUGGAAUCUAUUAAAAUAUCAUGCCCAAAUGCAAAAUAUGGCUGCAAAGAUAUGUUUAGUUGCAGUAUGAAAAGUAGCCACGAGAAGGAAUGCAUAUAUAUACCAUGUAAAUGCCCACAUACAGGCUGCGGUUUUCUUGCCUCAUCCAAGGAGUUAGCUCUCCACUUCAGCCACAGACAUGCAGGCUUUGGAAUACAGUUUACCUAUGACAAAUUUAUUUCUGUCUCCUUAAAUACCCGACAGAAACAAAUCGUUCUUCUAGAUCAAAAUGACGCAAGAUUGUUUAUUGUUCACAACCACAUUGUUCAACACGGAAAUAUGGUCCAUAUUAGUUGCAUGGGCCCCAAAGCAAUUACAGAUACUCAUUAUGAUGUCUUGGCUAGGUCUCAAGGGAGCACAUUAAUAUUGCAAUCUUCUACGAAGACCAUUCAAGACAAUAAUGGUGAUGCUCCUACAGCUGGAUUUCUUGUGAUACCUUCAGAUCAUUUUGGUUUUGGACAACUCAAAUUGGAUAUUCGUAUAAAGUCUCACUAACCCUUCGUUAAAGAUUGAAGCAGUCUACAACUUAGUUGAUUGCUAUAUGUAUUUACUUCAUUUAGGAGUUUAUCAUAUUGAACUAUUUACUACUCCAUGUGGGCACAAUUGAAUUUGACUGUUCUCAAGAAAGGUGCCUUCAUUGAGUAGGAGAUGAAAAAUGCUUUUGUUAAUGUUUGGGAUUAUGGUUUCAAAAUUAUCCUAUAAAUAUGUAGUAUGUUAAAAACUUAAAUUUGUUGGAGCCUCAGUGACAAUUAUUUUAGUUUAUUUAUGUGCUUUUUUAUAUACAUAUCCCGUUAAAACGGUGCAAUUGUUGGUUACAAAGUGUUUCUACAGUCAUAUUGUAAGGAGUUACGGAGGAUCAAGUUGUGUACACUUCUUUAAGACUUGCUUCAAUACAUUCACUUAAUUUAGGAUUUUAUCAUAUCUAACUAUUACUACAUGGGAGCACAAUUGGAGUUGACAGCUGUCAAGAAAGUUGUUGUCAUUUGUAUGUGUGGGUCGGUUAGGUUCGAAAUCAAAAUCGGUUCCAAAACUUGAAACCGUUUAAACCAACGGUUGCAUAUCCCUAAACCAUUUCCGACCAACUUAGGCAUCGGUUUAGUCGGUUCGGUGUAGACGGUUAAGCCGGUGAAAUGUGUGGUUUGGUUCGGUUAAUUCGGUAAAAAUCAAGAGCGGUCUUUGUGCCACAAUAUAUCAUAGUUGAUGAAAACCAAAAGAAUAAUUUUGAUGCUGCACAACAAGGAUUAAACAGUAGGUAGUACUUAGAAAAGAGAUCUAGUUGACGAAAACCAAAAGAAUAAUCCUAGUUGAGUGUGAAAGCUAAAAUACAACAUAGAUACCAAGACAUGUCUAUAUCUAUAAAACUUCUGGAAACGCUUGAAAACAAGUGUAUAUCUAUACCAUGGAGUUUGGCUCAAGCCUAAUCUCUAAAACCUAUGAUCAGUAGAGCAACAAAAGAUAAAAUAAGAACGUAAUACAGAGUGUAGUAGAAUAUAUUUCUUAAGGCAGGAUUAACAUUGUUAAUUUGUGAUUUUUGUUUUAAAUUUUUUAUGGAAAAUGGAAGAAAAUAAUGAUUUUGUGAUUUAUGAUUCGAGAUUUGUGUGUUUUUGGAUGAUGUUUGAUUUGAAGGAAAGGAAUCAUUUCUGAUGUAUGGAUGGAGAAGAACAGCAGCCGCAGCAGAGGAAAAACAAACAAGAAAGAAAAACUAGGGUUUCAGUUCUCUAACUUAUGUUUAUAUAUGUGGGUUCAACUGGACUUUGGGCUGGACAUUAGUUACGUGGGCUGGAUCGGUCGGAAACGGUUUUCCGUGGGUUGGAUAUUACAACCCGUAACCGACCAUGAUUAGUCACACCAAACCAUUUCAACUGGACCAACCAACCGGUUUAACCGCUCAACCCGAACCGCCAUGCUUCGGUCCAUCCGGUUCGGCCGGUUUUCAAUAUUCUGUCCAGCCCUAGUGUGUAGUAACAAAUUCUUCUUUAAACGAAGCAAAUCUGAGGAGCUAAAAUAUACUCUAAGAAAUAAUAGUUAUGAGACUAAAAUGAAAUUAAAAAAUUACUCCCUCCGUUUCUUUUUAAGUGUUUUUUUAAAAAAUUAACAUAAAAAUAGCAAUGUGUAUUUUUGCACAUUUUCUUCUUAUUGUACUUUCAUUUUAAUCAACCAAUAAAUUUCUAUUUUUUUUUUGCACACACCUUUUUAAUUUAAUAUGUUAUAUUUCUCUCGUAACAAACACUUAUGAGUUAGUAUUAACUUUUUCUCCAACAAAUUCUUAUUUUUUUUGCGCAUUAUCUCUCUCGUAAUAAACAAUUGUCAAUUUUCUAAAUAUUAUGCACAUUUUUUUUAAUUAUUUUCAGUCAGUAUAAAAAUUAUAUUGAUGAAACCUCUUCUUCAUUGUCAUCUUGUCAAAUGAGUCUUCAACUAUUGCUCCAUCUUCACCUCUCAUCGGCAAUUCUAACGAGUCUUCCACUUUUUCUUCAUUUUGAACAUUCUUUUUUUUUUUGGUUACAUGGCUAAAGAAAGGGAAAAAAAAAUUCAUUUUGAACAUUCAUGGAGUCUUUUAUUUUUCUUCUCUCAAAUCUGUUUUUUUACUUUGCACUUGAAAUUUUUAACAAUUUCUAUCCAUCUUAUUUAUAUAAUUUUAACUCUUCGUAAAACCAUUGUUUGUAACAAAAUUUUAUUUAAAUUUGAAGAUAAAAAUAACAAGAAACAAACUUUGUUUUAAAAAUAAAAAUAAGCAAACUUUGUUUUAAAAAAAAAACUUUAGUUUCCAAAUAGAUAAUAUUAAUUAAUUUUAUUGAAAAAUAUAAGAGAAAUUGACAAAUCGUGCCUUUAAAAUAUCGAAAAGACGGUUAAAUAGGAACGAAAAAUUCACAACAUUUAAAAAGGAACGGAGGGAGUAUAAGACAAUCUGAUUUUAUUUUUUGAAUCAUGUUGAAACAAGAUUUGGAUGAACUAGGUCAAAUUGCAGGUUUUUCUGAAUUUUUAGGGAAGUCAGAUUAUAUAAAUUGAAACUUGUGAAAAUGGUUUGGAUUAUAAAAUCCGAACAUGGGUAUUUUCGUCAAAUUUGAGGGUGCUAGAGAAGUGAGGAAGGUGGAAAUAGGAAUUCUUUUAUAUUAAUGCUUAAAAUUACAUAUUUAAUCAAUUAACUACUCCAUCCGUUCCUUUUUAAGUGUGUUUUUAGGGGUGAAUUUUUCGUUCCUAUUUAACAGUCUUUUUGGUAUUUUAAGGGUACGAUUUAUCAAUUAUACCCUUUAUCAAUUACUCUUAUAUCUUUCAAUAAAAGUAAUUAAUGCUAUCUAUUUGGAAAACAAAGUUUAUUUUGAUGAUUUUAUUUUUAUUAGUUUUAUAUUCUAGCCUUGAUAUAAAUAUGUAUAUGAUAAAUUUGAAAAUUAAUUUAUCAAAUCCUACUGUCUCAUUAAACACUUAAAUGAAACAAGAUAUAAAGAGUUCCCUAUCUAUCAUUACCCAUUAAUCCAUUAUGGAAUGAACCAACAAUGGAUGUCACAUGACCAUCCUAGUUACCAAUCGACUGAAUAUUGAACGGACAUCAAACACAAGCUCCAUAUGUCUGAAAGUGUAUAAAAUAUUACACUGAAACAAAUGGUUUUAGUAGGUCAGUUCAAGGAAAAACUUUUGGUAAUUCACAAUGAUCGUGUCAAUCAUUUGGUACAUGCCUUGGACCCAAAACAAUAUAUUAGUUACAAGCUCUAUGCUUCCUCAGGUGUUGAAAGAGUAAGAUUGCUUUAUGAUAUCAAGACCAGUACUGCUCAAGCCAUGUUUCUCUUCAUUCCUUCUAACCCGUUUGUUUCCGCUCAUCAACUCAGCUUUGUAAGACACACUUAAAUAAGUCUAUAUUUGGUUAAUAUUUCAAAGGUCUUGUUAAAGAUAAAGAGUGUCUUCUUUAAAGAUUCUAAAUUACUAAAAAAAUUAUUAUCUAAAAAAGUUAAAUAGAUACAUUAAAUACACAAGUUUUCAUAUAAAAUUACCAUUUAAAAACCUUAAAAAAUGCACCGGAGAUACUCAUUAACAUUUCUCAUAUUUCAAAGAAGUCAUUGUUUUUGUCAAAAAUUUAUCAAUUAAAUCUUUUUCAUUAUGUUUUGUCACAUGAAGAGAGAUCUAAUUAAAAACUUUUAACAAAGACAAAAAUUAACUUAAAAUAUUAAUAAAGUCGAAAAAUAAUGAAAGUGACUUCAAAAAUAAAGAUCAAUUUAAUAGUUUACUCGUCAUUUGUUUUAUCUAUACGUGGCCGUAAUCUAUAGUAUAUAAUAAGUUUCAAAAUUAAUUUAUCUUACCAAAUCCUUCUUUUUCAUUAACCAAUGAAACUAGAUAUAAUACAGCUCCUUAUCAUAGCCCACUAAUCCAUUAUGUGUCUAUUUAUUUACACCGUUGACUUUUGAUAGUUGUCACAACUCACCGUCACAUGAUCAUCUUAAGUACUCCCUCCGUCUUAUUUACAAGAGAUAAUUUAUUUUUCAGAUAUAUAAAAUAAUUUAUGUAUUUGGUUUAGAUUUUUGACUAAAUACAUACAUUAUUCAAUGUAUCUAAAAAAUCAACUUUAUCUUAUAAAUACGAUCGAAGGGAGUACUUAAUAUUGAACUUAAUUCAUUAGUUCUUUUGUUGUCAUAAUGAAUAAAUUAGAUUUAUAUAUGUUUUCGAUUGUUAAGGUAUAGAUUUAUUUAUAUAAAUGAAUCAUUUUACCAUCUUUUGCAUAUCAAACACAAGCUCCACAAAUCAGCUAUAAUUCAAUCUAUUAUCUCUGGUCAAUCUUUACUUAAACUCUAUCCACUAUAUGUCUAAAAGUUUAUGAUAUUAUUUUAAAAAUAGAUUAAUCUAAAAAUAAAUAACUGUGGUCCACUAUAGAUCGGUUAUGUUGCUGUAUCCCACCCUAGUCAAGGCCUAGUUAAAUAUAUUCUCUUUGACGUUAAAAAAACGAUUUAACCCUAAAGUUUUGACAAGUUUAGAUGAUGUACUUAAUUAUCGAAAUGGAUCAACUCAUCUAGCAAUUAUUUUUAUUGUAAACCUGUUGAUCUAAAAAUUCCAAAGCUAUAUAUGAGCCUAUUGGUAAAACUUUCCCAUUUUUUCAAUAUUGAGGUGAAUGGUCCCCUCUGGACGGGUGUCGAUGUAUAUACUUUGCAACCUCUAUUUUUUAGAGAAUAAAAUUAGAAGAGGAGAAACAUUUAAAAAGGAAGGGAGUCAAUAUGUUUUUUUAGUGAAGAUUCUAAUUCUAUUUCUUUAAAUUACUGAAUUAGUAGUUUAGUACCCACAAGAUAUAUAUAACAAGAAAUACAAACAUAAAACAAAAGAAAAGUUUGUGAUGAACAUUAAGGUGGUAUUAAUGAACAGAAUAUUAUUAAACCACUUCAUUAUAAUGUACUCUUAUUUGAGGAAAAAGAUAGCUACUACUUGCAUAAUAAUAACCAACAUAUACAAACAAGGUUUUAAAAUAGGAGAAUACUGAUAAACUUGCGUCACAUGUUAUCAAUGAAUUUGACGAAAUCAUAGUAAACAACAAUGAUUCUAACAAAAACUAUACUUUAGAACUUCAACAAAAUCAUAAUUUUACUGUGAUUUCGUUAAACUCACCUUGAUUUUUUUCAAACACGCACUUAAACAGAUAAUACAUACAUAUAAAGAAAAACGAUUGUAACAACAAACAUGGGAUGAAGUCUGUUUGAUAUGAAAACCAAAAGAAACACAAGCAAAGCAACUGAUCCCCAAGUGGAUUGAACCCCAUCAUCUCCACCUUCUAUAACAUUUGAAUUUGAUGCUGGAGCCAUGUAUCGUCCAAAUAGAGAGAUGAGUGUAAUGAGAAGUGUCAAAAACAAGAGGAACAAGUUGAGGUUUGUGCUAGUUGAUUGCAUGUUCAUAUAUGAUGAAAUCCACAAUAAGAACACAACUAUACCAACUAAGGCCAAAAGCUGAAGAGGUGGAGUUGAUAUAGAGGACAAAGAGUUUUCCAUCCAUCCUUUCUUCAAUUCUAAAUCCCUACUCUCGUUCACUACCGUAGCCAUUAACUUUUCUCUCACAAACACUCAAGACUUUUUUGGUUUCUAGGAAUCGGAAUAUAUAUAUUAAUUUUUGGAGAGAUGAGAUAUAUAGGAAUUGGAAUAUAUAUUUCUCUAACCAGUCUGGUGGAUAAUACUAUGGAUCGCAUAUACUAUAUAUAGAUAAGAAAAUAAAGCGAACUAGAAAACAUACUUUUCUUUGAUUUUUGUUUUUACGGGUUUUUGAUAUUUUUUGUUGUUGUUAUUAUUCAAUUCUAUAUGUUUCUUUUCCAAAGCAUUCAAUGUGAUUCGACCAUUUAAAUAUGUUAUAAUAUUAUUUUAUAAAAUAGUACAUACACGAUUAAUAAAAUAGUUAAUUAUAUGUCAUGCACGUUGAAUUCAUAUUUAUCUCUUGGGAAAUAAACUUGGGCAAAUGUACCAAAAAAAAAAAAAAAAAAACUUGGGGAAAAAAUCACUUAGGAGAUACAUUCACCGAAGAAUAUGUUGAAAACGUCUAUUAAAUAAAAGAAUUGAUGUUUUUCUACAAAAAAAGAAAGAAUUGAUGUCUUGUUUUUUUUAUUUUAUAUAUAUAAUGAUGGUUAAAUUAGUGUCAUUCACGUUGCUGAAUUCAUUUACGUGCAUUUAUCUGUCCAUAUACGAAUUGAUGAAAUUAAACCGUCCCUAUAAAACAAUGAGGGCAAAAUUGAAAGAAGAAAUGAUAAGCUAUAAACUCAAAUGCUAUUUGGAAUAGCGUCUGAAAAAUAGUUUAUAAACUCGUGAAAUAAAUUAUAAGUUCGUGAUGAAAAAACGUUAACAAACAAAUUUUUUUUGGUCAAACGAACUUAUAAACUAUUUGCUAUAAAUUCGUUUUCUAGUCUUACCAAACAGACCCAAUAUGUAAGGUCAAUAUAUAAGGAUGCUUUAGUUUUUUUUCUUUGACUUUUUAAACAACAAAUCAAAUAUGAAUAGUGUUAUUUUUUUUAAACAAUAAAUAUUAGUAAUUAAUUUUUAAAUUAAUAUUUUUACUCCCAUUAGGUCUGACCCGGGUUCCCAUACUCCUUUCCUCUCAACUUACCCUUAGAUCAAAAUUAGUUGAACUAUACAACCCCUCCUACCUUAAUAUUGUUAGUAUUAAUUGUUAAUAUUAUUCUAAGAGUGGAGAUCGAUCUCUCAAUCUCAUUGUGUUUGCUACUUAACUAUUUGACACAAGCAUAGUAAUCCUUAUGCAUAUUGCUUUUGGACACAAUCACAAAUAAAAAAAAUGUAAUGACAUCAGUUAAUUCUUUUCUGUGUAUUUUUUUUCUCUUUCAUUUAUGUGUAUUAAAAUAAUUUUGAUUUGAGAUUAUAUCCAAGUUAGUAAACUUGCUCAAUAUUUAGAAUUCUUAUUGGUAUUAUUGGAGCCACAACCUCCUUCUUCCUCUCAUCUUUCCUUGUCUUAGUUUCUUAUUAACACUGAUAUCUUAUAAAACAGUUAUAUCUACUAUCUAAGAGGAAUGAGGAUAUUAAGCAGCAGGGACGGCCCGGAAAUUUUGAGAGCCUUAGAAGAAGAAAAAAUGCCCUUAUUAUAAUUUGAGUUGUUUGUUUCUUAUAUUUUUGUUUUAAAUUUGUUAAUAAUUAAAGUUAUUCAAAAAAUAACUUUUGAUGAAAGCUAAAAGAGGAAUUUUUUUUAAUUAGAUUGAUAGUAAGAUUUUUACAAUUUUAACAUGAAAAAAUUACUCUUAUCGUAUGUUUGGUCUUGCAACACGUUUGCAAAAACUAAUGAUGAAAAAUGAUGACAAUGCAGAAAUAUUUGGUUUUGUAGCUUAUUAAAAAUCACGAUAAGAGCAAGGUGAAAAUGUGCUUGGACCAUCUGAUGUGCAACCAAACAAGCAAGAUUCAACAGUAAUAACAUGUAAUUUAGCUACCAAAAAUGCAUUUAACCCUAAAUUAAUUUAGUUUGAAGAUCUUUUCAAAUCUAAAUCAUUCUCGGAAAAUCAUUUCUUUUGCAUUUUCAUAACUAGGUUGCAAAUCAUUUCUUUCAUAAAAGAUAUGAUAUCUUUAAUUUUAAAUUUUACUAUUAUACCAACACCUAAUAAAUAUUAUGCAUCCAUAAAAAAAGGGAAACAGAUAAACGAGGGAGAUAAUUCCAACCUUUUCAUUGAUAUCUACCUUAUCAUAGACAGAGAACUGUUUAUAUUAAUAAUUCAACUCCAGCAGCAACAGAUACAUAAUAAAUAAUUCUGGAAUUUUCUUCACCGAGGUGGGGACAAGUUUCACGUGUUCAAUCUUAGAAGGAGAAUAUUGAAUCGGCAACUAUAUCUAAUUCGUGGCUAAUUUAUGCAUGCAAAUGGAGCUUUAUGCGAAAUUUGAGCAUGACGUGUCUAAUCUCUGUGUUGACACUUGAGAGAUUUUGCUCACAAUUCAGCUGAAGAAUGGGACCAAUCACUUAAAGAAGCUCUCAAGCUUACUCCUUCGUUAAGCAAGCAUGUAGUAGUAGUAUAUGUCAUAGUGUAAAAUAAAAGGUUAAUUUAUAUCUUCUCUAUCUAUCUAUCUUAGAUUGAGACAACUCCCAAAUAACUUCAAAAAAGUCAAUGAAAAAUAAAAUAAAGCUUCCGACAAAAUUAUCAAGUUUCAUUUUGGUUUAAAAUGGAACUAAUUCAUACAAAUAUCAAACAUUUAUAUAUAUAUAUAACUGAUUUUUUACACUUUUGGUUUUUGUUGUUUUAUUUUAACCCUUGCAAAAUUGGUUCAAUUUGGAUUUCAUCCUCGUAAUAUAUAUAAUAUUUGAUUUUAAUCUCUUAAAAUAAGGAUUAAAAUGAAUAUCAUAGGAAGCAAUUUUAAUAUAAAUAGAUUUUAUAGGAACUUAAACAAAAUAUCAAAGAGCAAAACAAAAUAUUUUAUAUUUCCAAUGACUAAAACAAAAAGAAAAAGGUAUUUUUCAAGGGACUAAAAUUAAAACCCAUGAGAUUUGAAGACAUAUUUAAGUCUUUCAGUUUUUGUUCCCAUGAAAAAAGUCGCACUUAUUAGUCCUUUGAAAAUUAUUUUGCAAGCAGUUUUAGUCCUUGUUAUUAAGUUAACAUUUAUUUUUGAAUGAUUUUUUAUAGAUAUGUUUAAAACAUUAUAAAAAUUUCUCCACAAAAAUGAAUUUAAAAUUUGAUUUUUAAAUUAUGAUUUUCGUUUCUCUAGAAAAAAAAAAACGGAUUUUCGUUGCUUUUAUCUUGAGCAUUUGACAUUUAAAAAACUUAUAUUUAAUUCAUUGCAUUUUAAAUUUUUUUAAUUAUUGUUGAGGAUUUAUCAUAAAAAUAUUUAUUUAUGUUAAAAUAGAUUAAAGUGUAGUGCAUAUUUAAUUAUCAAGAGAGUGUGUUGUAAUUCAAACAUCUCAUAUAGGAUGGGAGUAUAAGUGUAUAACUUUUAUUUUUCAAGGAAAGAUAAUGUAUAUUUUAACAUAAGAGGAGAAACAAGUGUAAUUCUAGAUUCUCUUAGGGGAGGAGAGUGUAAUUUAAUUUACUCAUUUUAAAUAUAAUUGCAUAAAAUUAUUCAAAAAUAUUUAUAGUUGAAGAAUGAUUAAACAUGUUUUGUUUCUACAUGCUUGCAUGGCUACAAAAAUUGAUUACAUGAUUAUUUUGUCGGGACUAAAAAUGCAAUUUUUUAUGGCUACAGAAACGAAACUUGAUAAUUUUAUAGCGACUAAAAACAUAUUUAAUAAAAAAUAAAUAAAACAUAUUUCGCUUAGACAUUAAGAUUCGAUAUACAAUUGUUUCUUUCAAAUUAAAUAUUAUCUACGGUCACAUUCUUAGAUUGAAUGAGUUCUACAAUUGUUUCUUUCAAAUUAAAUAUUGUCUACGGUCAAAUUCCUAGAUUGAAUGAGUUCAUAAUGUAGGAAACUGAACCAAAAUUAAGCGAAGGUAAGUUACUUGGAUGAGGUCAAUGAACGACCAAGAGGUCCAUGGUCUAGGUUGGUGACCUCCAUUGCAUUUAGGAGGGGCUUGUAUCUAAGGUGUUCUCAAGUAGAACAACCUACAUUAUAAUUUGUUGUUGUGGAGGCCUGCGUGCGCGCGGCCCGCUUAAAAAAAUUAAGUGAGGGUUAGAAGGGAAAAAUUGGUGUACCUUUGGUAUCAUCUGAAUCUUUUUAUUUUUUGAAAAUAGAACAUCUAAUUUAUUACUCUCUUCGUUCCAAAUUAUAUGAUAUUUUGGACAUUUCACAUCUAUUAAGAAAUGUAGUUAAUUUUGCAUGGAAAAUACAUAUUAUGAGUUGUUUUACAAAAUUGUCCUUAAUAAAUGAUAAAUUAAAGAAUUGAAAGAAGAUAAAAUAAUAAAUAAUUAAGGGUAUUUUAAAGAAGAGAAUAGAAAAAAAAUAACAUUAAUGCUUCAUUUGUAUUGUAAAACGACUUAUAAUUCGGAAUUUCGAAAGAAAAUAUCUUGAAUAAAGCAGGACGAGCCUGCUUAGUGUAGUCUACAGGGCCGGCCCUAGGCAUAGGCCGCGAGUGCGACGGCCUAGGGGCCAUGCCCGUAGGGGGCCCUAAAUUUUUUUAUAGGGGGGUGUAUAUAGCAAAGCUAAGGAAAAAGUGGGGUGCGUAUAGUAAUUCAUACCAGCAGGCCUAAAUCUGAAUCAUUUUCUCGGUCCAUUAGGAAUAAAAUAGAAAGAAAAAAAAACGUGGAAAGGCCCAAUAAAGAGAAAAAUAAUGGAAAGGGCUCAACUAACACACAAACAAAAAUUUCUUUUGAGCAAUUAGAAAGACAGAUGAAAAAGGAAACCUAAAAAGAAAAACUAAAAGGUUCCAAAGUCAGUCAUUCUCUCCAUGUGAAUUGUUUUAGGUGUUUUUUUUUUCUUUCUUAUUCCAAUUCUAUUUGAUAAUAUUGUUUCAAUUCUCUAAUUGCUUCAAGUGUUGAAUUCUAAUUAUGUUUUUUUUUCUUAUUCCAAUUCUCUUUGAUAAUCAUUGUUUUCAAUUAUCUAAUUGCUUCAGGUGUUGAAUUUUAAAAUUCUAAUUGAAUGAUUUAUGUUUUUUCCAGUUGAAUUUUUUAUUUUUCCAUAUAGCAUGAUUUAUUCAAAAUCAAGAGUUCACGUACUGUACAUAAAACACAGUACACGUUGAACUUGAAUAUCAAUUUUUGAUAUUUUUUUUAAUUAAUUGUUUGUACCGAUAGACUACACUAGUAGGACAGUACACGUGAUUUUUGUAUGAUUCACAAAAGUUAAUGUUUUUGGAUGAUAAUGAGUUGAACGAAUGUUGUGUUAAAUUUCACUCAACUUUUUCUCAUGGCGAUUUAUCAAAUGUCGAUGUUCACGAUCUUUUCUCAUAAUUAAAAGUGUUACAAUGCACUUUGCCGACUGAAAUAAUGAAUGCCUUGGAUAUUCUUAAAUUUGUCAGACUUGCAGAUUGUUAUCCAAAUGUAGCAAUUGUUUACAGAGUUUUAUUGACGGUGCCCAUGACUGUAGCAUCAGCAGAGAGAAGUUUUUCAAAAUUGAAGUUGAUUAAAACCUACUUGAGGUCAUCAAUGUCACAAGAUAGAUUGAACAGUUUGGCUACUUUGUCAAUUGAGAAGGAAAUGUUGAAGAAUAUUGAUGUUGAUGUCAUUAUAAAUGAUUUUGCAUCUCAAAAAGAUCGAAAAAACAACUUUUAACUUCACGAGUAAAAGAGAAGUUUUUUGGAUAUUUUGUGCAACUAUUGUAUAUUCUCAAUGAUGGUUUAUAUCUAUGUGUCAUAGUUUUAUUAGAGUUGUUUUCUCUAUAGAUAGGUUGUUAUCCAUACCUAUAAUUUUACUUAACUUUGUUGGGUUAGGUUCGGCCCCCCCAACUUUUUUGUUUUGUUUUUCCUUUUUAUUAAUAAUAUAUAGGAUGAGGUGUAUUUGACACACAAUAUUUUGGGGUGCCAGCAUAGCUUGGAUGUCAAAAUAUCGUAUUAUAGUGACUUGGGGUGCCAGCAUAGCUGGGAUGUCAACCACUAUAACCAAUACAUGUCUCAUUCAUCAUUUAUCAGAAGAAAAAAAAAUUAUUAUGUAAUACAAAGGGCCCUUUUUUCAUACUAUAUCCAAGGCCUGUAAAACUCUAGGAACGGCCCUGGUAGUCUAUCACAACAGCAAUUCUCGUUUAUACCAUGCAACUUCACGAUCUUCCUACUUAUAUUUACAACAGGUUAGAUAAGAUCAUGUUAGAUAAGAUGACAAAGAUUUUCCUUUGGGGGGCAAUGGGCUCUUUCGAUCUUGUAAUCAUGUUAAUUGGAAUAUGGUUAUAGUUCCUAAACGCUUUGGUGGCCUAGGUAUUUGUGAAGUUAGGCUUACUCAUUUAGUUUUGCUUGGUAGGUUAGUGUGGAACAUGCUUCAUAAUAAAGAUAAAUUGCAUGCUUCAUAAAAUGGUCUAGAAAACAGAUGUCUUUAAGGAUUUAUAAUUAAGAAACUAUUUAUAAAAAGGUUAAAAUAUGGUUUUAGUCCCUGCAAAUAUGCCUCGUUUUGGUUUUAGUCCCUGUAAAAAAAAAAUUGUUUUUGGUCCCUGCAAAAUUUUUUGUUUUUGAAAAUAGUCCCUGAUCCCACUUUUGUGAUGAUUUGCAUACGUGACACAUUAUAACUGAAUCAAUUUUGUAGUUUUUGGUCCCUGCAAAAUAUUUUGUUUUUAAAAAAGGCCCCUGCAAAAAUUUUUAUUUUUGAAAAUAGUCCCUGGAGGGACUAUUUUUUAAAACCAAUAUUUGAUUUGGCAUAAAUAUCUCAACAAACUUUUGAUCUUAUCUAUUAUAUAUUUUACUUAACUUUUUCAUUGAAUUUUUAAUAUUUUAUGUAACAGAAAUAUUUCAACAGAAAUAACACAAAUUCCUAAAAGUUUAUUUUAUUAUAUAUGUGUUAAUAUUUUUACUAAAUCCAAUUAAUUUUAUCGGUAUGUGCAUCAAUAAAUUUACGAGUAUUUAUAAUAUGAUAUAUUUUAUUAUAUUUGUAUGUAUUUAUUAAGAUAUUCAUCCUAUUCCAAGCCGUGAUAAAUUUUAUUUGCGGAUAUCUUUCAUAUAAUUUUUUUUAUCUUCUUGAAUAUGGCCCCGUUUGGAUUGACUUAUUUUGAGCUUAUGUGGGCUUAUCUACUCCCAUAAGCCUUUUUAAAGGUGUUUGGGUAAAUAAAUAAAAAUAUUUUAUCAUAGUUUCAUAAGCUGCUUAUGCCAUAUUUUAAUAAGCCUAAAUUUUCAGCUUACUCUCCGGCUUAACAAGGAGCUUAUGAAUUUAUGUAACCUCCAUCGAUUCUCUCUGGAUCCACUUUUUCAAAACAUAUAUUUUAAUUUUAUUUUUUUGUUUUUAGAAAAAAAAAAACAUAUAUUUUAAUUAUAAUGUUAGUUAUCUUUGAUUGUGCAUGAGUAACAAAAUUGCUAUAUACUUAUCUUACUAAAGUAACACACGUAACUAAGAUUUUUUUUAAGGAUGAUUUUUAUUAUUUUUUUGUUACGUAACAAAAUGAAACUGAAUAAAAAAAACAAACUUAAUUUGUCUUUUUUUGGUAACAAACUGUACAUUAAUAUCUAUAUAUAUGGUAAGUUUACAAUCAUAAUUUCUCAAGUUUAUAUUUAUAUUAUUAUACUUUUUUUUAAAAGAAAGCUUAUCAUAUAUUAUUAUACUUGUGUAUAAUGAUGUUUAGACUAUUUAUUUACACCUCGAAUGUUAAUUUUGUCUUAUAUGAAUAUUGAUAUUUUUUUAAGGACGAAUAUUGAUUAUACUAUAUAUAUAAUUAUAAUUAAUAUAUUAUAAUAUUGUUUUUUACAUCUUGAUUAAUUUUAUCAAAAAAAAUCUUGAUAAUUGUGGUUCGAUUCUUUGAUUUUUUCGUUAAAUUAAAAAUAUUUAAGAUUUUGAUAAUUGCUUAUGUAAUGUCACAUCCAAACACUUCAAUUUAUGUAAGUACUUUUUAGUGUACAUAUUCAAACAUAAAUAGCUUAUCAAGUAUAAGAGCUUAUGAUGUAAGUUCUAAUGUUAUAAGCCCUAAUGCUUUAAGCAUCUAUAUAAGCUGUUUAUCCAAACGGGGCCAAAGUCUAACCCGGGCAACGCCGGAUAAAUACACUAGUUACUAUUUUAUAUGGUUCUCUCUUAACUUAGUCUAAGUGACAUUAAUUUUGAGUCAUUAGGAUUGAGCAAAUCUCAUUUUCUCUUUUCAUCUCCAAAUUAGGGUUCUAAUAUUCUUCCUUCGUCUUAAUUCUUCUUCAUCUUCUGCUUCUUUCAAUAUUUCUUUUUUGAAGGUCCUUCUUUUAAUUUCUUGUUCAUUAGCUAAUCUGCACAAAGCAAGACCGCAAAAUUUUUCUUUGACAAACGUGAACUACAAAUCAAAUUAUAGAAACAGAAACAAAAAGAUACUACCAAAUAUGUACGUGCAUAUUUGGUAGUUGCGUGAUCACGGACAAAAAUACAUUAUAAAAAGGAUUUUAGUUCUCAAGUACAGAAACACGUUUCACUAUAGGACAUGAAAACCUUUGGCCCCAAAAAUAUACGGUAUCAGCUCCUGGAUAUGAACAUCAUCAUCAUGGCCACAAUCACACAAUUAUUAGCUCUUUAAAGCAAAAUAACAAUGUCCACUCACAAUGAACAAUAUGUUGUUACUAACCUAACCCAAUAAAAAACUAAACCACAAGUGAUUUGAUUUGGUUACAAUUAAGUUAAAAGAAAUUUAUUUUUUAUUUGAAUUAAAGUUGAAAACAACUCACACCCACUCUUGCCUAACUUGUCUCCCAUAGUAGAUUUAAUUAGCACACUUUAGUUAAUCUAUCUAUUCCCCACAACUAGAAAUUCUUUUAUAAUCCUACCAAAAAAAGAAAUUCUUUUACAAAUUUGUAGCAUCAUUCGCAGAACAUAACCGACUAAAAAUGAUGCCUUUUAACUCACUUAGGUUUGUUUAGUGGUAUUGACUUUGAGACUUUAGAGUGUAUUCUUUCUCGAGAUUUUGAAUUUGAUUCUCUCUGAUGUUAAUUUUGAGUGGCUUAAUUUAACUUCUUAAAUAUGAAACAUGUUUGUUUCUAUAAAUGAAGGGAUAUGUGUCAUCUAAAACUCACGUACAUAACAGUAAGAACCUGACUGACAAUGUCAAACUAAAAUAUAAUUGCAUUGCCAAUUAAGCUAGACAUUGUUGAAUAAAACAUGUUUCUUAUAGAUGAUAACAUGAAAUAUGAAACAUAUGAUGGUAAAAUAAUUGCAGUUAAUUACCCAUUUGUCUCUUAUUAUAACACCGUUGUCGUACUAUGUAUAGUGAUGUUGAUUAAAGAGGCGGACAAAAUUAUCAAACAUCACAAACACAUUUAUUUCCUUUUUUCUGAAUUUGAUUGGAUUGGAUUACGAUGUUUCAACAAUAAUAACUAAUAUAAAAUAUGAAACAUGUACGUUUAGAAAGAAAGAAAAAAAUAUGGAAUAUGAAACAUAUUUUUUUUAUUUGCACUAGCAAUAGCUGAAAUAGGAAACAUGUUUAUAUUGUAAUGUUCCGAGUGAAGGUGUCCAACUCUAUAUUAUCAAUAUUGUCAGUUGAGUUAGUCGUCUUUACGAACUAAAACAUGUUUUUAAGGAUUAAAACAUGUUUCUUAUAGAUGACAACAUGGAUGAAACGUAUGAUCCCAAAAUAAUUGAUGUCGUCCACUUUCUUUAUGCCACUUUAGCAACUUCACUUCUUAUAAAUUUUGCCUGACUAGUUUACUAUAGUUGAUUUAGCACACUUCAGUCAAUCUAUUUCCCUACACUCCUACUAGUACAGUACAAACUACAAAAUCGUUUAUAAAUUUGCAGCAUCAUAUACACAACAUCAUAAACAAAAAAAUGAUGCCUCUAAACUCAUAUUUUACUAUUCUACUAAUUGCUCUCUUAUUUUCAUAUACAUCUUCUUCAAUUGAUACUAGUACACAUGAAGAAAAUUUCCUUGAAUGUCUCUAUAGUUAUUCACAUAACUCAACUUCAAUCUCUGAAGUUGUGUACACCAAAACCAAUUCCUCUUACUCAUCGAUACUCAAAUUUACAACUCAAAAUCUCAGAUUUGCAUCCAACACAACACCUAAACCUCUUUUCAUUAUCACACCUAAACAGAUUUCCCAAAUUCAAACAACCAUAAUCUGUUCACAAAUCCACAACCUGCAGAUUCGAAUCCGAAGCGGUGGCCAUGAUUUUGAGGGUCGGUCCUAUGUUUCUGAAGUCCCAUUUAUCAUCCUUGAUCUCACAAACUUCAGAGAAAUUGAAGUAGAUGUAGAAAACAGGACAGCUUGGGUUCAAUCUGGUGCAACAAUUGGUGAACUUUACUACACAAUUUACCGAAAAAACCAAAAUCUUGGUUUUCCGGGUGGUGAAUGUCCUACUAUAGGUGUUGGUGGACACAUCAGUGGCGGUGGCUAUGGAACCUUGGUUCGUAAAUUCGGGCUUGCAGCUGAUAAUAUAAUUGAUGCUCACAUAAUUGAUGUGAAGGGUAGGUUUCUUGACAGAGAAGCAAUGGGUGAAGAUUUGUUUUGGGCUAUUAGAGGUGGUGGAGGAGCAAGUUUUGGAGUCAUAAUUUCAUGGAAGAUUAAACUUGUUCAAGUUCCAUCAAUUGUGACAGUCUUCAAUGUUCCAAAAACAUUGGAACACAAUGCAACAAAGCUUAUUCACAAGUGGCAGUUUUUGACAAGUAGAAUUGAUGAAAACUUAGAAAUUACUGUUAUCUUACAAAGGGUAAAUUCAAGUAUAAAGGGGAAGUCAAAAUCAACAGUACAAGCUAUAUUUCAAGCCUUGUUUCUUGGAGGAGUAGAUAAGCUCAUACACUUGAUGCAAGAGAAGUUUCCUGAGCUUGGUUUGGUUAGAGAAGAUUGUGUUGAGAUGAGUUGGGUUGAAUCAGUUCUUUACCUUUACGGGUUUCCGAAAGACGAACCACUUGAAACGUUGCUCAACAGAACACUUGCUGCAAAGGAUAUUUACAAAGUAAAAUCUGAUUUUGUCAAAAUUCCCAUUCCUGAAGUUGGAUUAGAAGGAAUAUGGCCUAUGUUUCAUGAAGAUGGUGCCAAAGAUGCCAUGGUGAUAUGUUUUCCUUAUGGUGGCAUAAUGGAUAAUAUUUCAGAGUCUGAAAUUCCAUUUCCACACAGACAUGGAAAUUUAUAUCAAAUUUAUUACUCAGUUCAUUGGCAUCAAGAAAGUGAUGAGGUAGAAAAAAUGAAAAUGAAUUGGAUUGGAAAAUUGUACAGUUAUAUGGAACCUUUUGUUUCAAAGUCUCCAAGAGCUGCAUAUAUUAACUAUAGAGAUCUUGAUAUUGGGGUGAAUAAUAUUAAUGGAUACACAAGCUACAAGCAAGCUAGUGUUUGGGGUGUUAAAUACUUUAAGAACAACUUCAAAAGAUUGAUAAAAGUGAAGACUAAAGUUGAUCCUCUAAACUUCUUCAGAAAUGAACAGAGUAUACCUUCUCUCAUGUGUUCAAGGGACAUAAAGAAAUCCUUGUAGCAGAUAAGGUCAUAAUAGAAUAAUGCAAUAUGCUUUUUUAUUUUUCUUUUAUUUCUGUAUUGUUUUUAAAAAAUAAAAGUUUGGCACAAAAAUGCUACACAAAAACGUUUAGUACGUUUUAGGUGGGUGAGCGUGCGGGUAUGGACCGCGGAAAAUAAAAUUGAGGAAUCAAUUUCCGUAAAACAAAAGAUGUAACACAGCAAAAAAAUAAAAUCCAUGGGUGUUAUGCUAGUAAUUGAGUUUGCUUGCAAUCUAGAUGUCAAUAAUGCUUUCUAUGCUGAAUUGGUGGGUGUUAUGCUAGCAAUUGAGUUUGCUCACAAAAAAUGUUGACAUUGUCUGUGGAUUGAAACAUACUUACAAUUGGUGACUAUGGCCUUCAAAUCUCGCUCUAUAGUUCCUUGGAACUUAAGAAACAGUUGGCUCAUUUAUAUCACUAUUACUAGUAGUACGCAAUUUAUUAUAUCUCACAAUUUCAGAGAAGUAAAUCAAUGUGUUGAUAGGCUUGCCAAUCUUGGCCUGCAAAUGGACAUUUAUCAUCGAUGGGAUAGCAUUCCUCCGACUAUUUUAAAUGCUUUCAUAAGAAAUAGAUUGAGUUUACCUGAAUAUAGAUUUUGUUAGUCUAUUGCUGUUUGAUCGUAUCCCAUAGAGUAUGUUUGGAUGGUGUAAUUGAAAAUUUUAGAGAGUUUAAAAUUGUAGGCAUUUCAAAUGAUUAAAUUGAUUUGCCUACAUUUCUAAAUAUGUUUAUUUGGACAGACUAAUAAAAAAUUAAAAAUUUCCUUCAUUUCUAAAUAUUUUGUAUAACUAUUAUAAGAUGGAUGGUCAAGAUGAUUCCCAUGAUUUAGGAAUCAUCUUGAGCCGUAGAUGAUCGUUCUCGGUUGGUAAUACUGAUUGGGAUGGUCACACUGUUGGACACGCGGUUGUAUGACAAACUCAAAACUAAACAAACUGCCUAAACUUCUAUUUAUUAAAAAAAAUACACAUAUAAAAUGUUAGAGCACAAUCAAUCACUUUUACACUUACACACAGACACACUUGUUUUUCACUUUCUGGUUUUGUCACCAGAGAUGAAGAAGAUUAGAAAAAGGGAGAAAAUUUUAGAGAGUUUUAUGAAGGAGAAAUAGGAUGCACGGUCAUAUUCAAUGAAUCACUAAGUUGUAAUUUUCUUAUCGACAUCAUCAAUUUAUUCAACACUUGAAAGAGCUAUAAUUGCUCAAGUACAUAACAGAAAUAAAACACGAACAAACUAGUUGUUAUAACAGAAAACUAACUCUAUCGACACAGUUACUUGCGCUACAAGAAAACUAUUAUUCUUAACUAAUUUGAAUUAAACUCACCACAUAAAAGAGAAAUAACGAAGCAUAUUACAUUACUCUAUUAUGAACUUAGAUGCUUCAAGGAAUUCUAUCUGUGUCCCUUGGACAAAUGUGAAGGUAUACUUUGUUCAUUUCUGAAGAAGUUUAGAGGAUCAACUUUGGUCUUCACUUUUACCAAUCUUUUGAAGUUGUUCUUGAAGUACUUAACACCCCAAAUACUAGCUUGCUUGUAGCUUGUGUAUCCAUUGUUAUUAUUCACCCCAAUAUCAAGAUCUCUAUAAUUGAUAUAUGCAGCUCUUGGUGACUUUGAAACAAAAGGUUCCAUAAAACUAUACAGUUUUCUAAUCCAAUUCAUUUUAAUUUUUUCCACCUCAUCACUUUCUUGAUGCCAAUGAACCGAGUACAAAAUUUGGUAUAAAUUUCCAUAUCUAUGUGGAAAUGGAAUUUUAGACUCUGAAAUAUUAUUCAUUAUGCCACCAUAAGGAAAAAAAUACACCAUUGAAUCUUUGGCACCAUCUUCAUGAAACAUACGCCACAUUCUUUCUAAUCCAAUUUCAGAAAUGGGAAUUCUCACAAAAUCAGACUUUACUUUGAAAAUAUCCUUUGCAGCUUGUGUUCUGUUGAGCAACAUUUCAGGUGAUUCGCCUUUCGGAAAUCCAUAAAGGUAAAGAACCGAUUCAAUCCAACUCAUCUCAAUACAAUCUUCUCUAACCAAACCAAGUUCUGGAAACUUUUCUUUCAUCAAGGGAAUGAGUUUAUCUACACUUCCAAGAAACAAGGCUUGAAAUAAAGCUUGUACUGUUGAAUUUGACUUACCUUUUUUACUUAAAUUUACCCUUUGCAAGAUAACAUAAAUGGCUAUGUUUUCAUCAAUUGUACUUGUCACAAACUGCCACUUGUGAACAAGCUUUGUUGCAUUUUGAUCCAAUGUUUUUGGCACAUUGAACACUGACACACUUGAUGGAACUUGAACAAGUUUAACCUUCCAUGAAAUUAUGACUCCAAAACUUGCUCCUCCACCUCCUCUAAUAGCCCAAAAAAAAUCCUCACCCAUUGCUUCUCUGUCAAGAAACCUACCCUUCACAUCAAUUAUGUGAGCAUCAAUAAUAUUAUCAGCUGCAAGACCGAAUUUACGCACCAAGUUUCCAUAGCCACCACCACUGAAGUGUCCACCAACACCUACAGUAGGACAAGCACCGGCAGGAAAACCAAGAUUUCGGCUUUUUCGGCUAAUUGUGUAGUAAAGUUCACCAAGUGUUGCACCAGAUUGAACCCAAGCAGUUCUUUUUUCUACAUCUAUUGUAAUUUCUCUGAAGUAUGUGAAAUCAAUGAUGACAAAUGGGACUUCAGAAACAUAGGACCGACCCUCGAAGUCGUGGCCGCCGCUUCGGAUUCGAAUCUGCAGGUCAUGUCUUUGGGAACAGAUUAUGGUUGUUUGAAUUUGGGAAAUAUGUUUAGGUGUGAUAAUGACAAGAGGUUUCGGUGUUGUUUUGGAUGCAAAUCUGAGAUUUUGAGUGGUAAAUUGGAGUAUUGAUGAGUAAGAGGAAUUGGUUUUGGUGUACACAAGUUUAGACAUUGAAGUUGAGUUAUGUGAAUAACUAUAGAGACAUUGUAGGAAAUUUUCUUCAUGUUUAGUAGUAUCAAUUGCAGAAUAUGUGAAUGAAAAGAAAACAGCAAUUAGUACAAUAAUCAAAUAUGAUCUUAGAGGAAUCAUUUUUUGUUGGUUAUGUUAUGCAUAUGCUGCUAGAAAAUUAAUUUAUAAAAUAAUUUCUCUCUAGUAGUAGUGUGGAUAAUAGAUUAAUUAAAUUAAAGCGUGCUAAUUAAAUCUAAUAUGGUAGACAAGUCGGGCAGGGUAUGAGUUCGUUAUCAACUUUACUUCAAAUUGGAAAAUAAUUUUUUUGAAACUUAGUUGUAACCAAAUCAUUUGUGAUUAGGUUUUAAUUUGGGUGGCAUUUAGAAUGCACAAGUGAAACUUUUUGUGUAUCAUACACAAAUGAGUUUUUCACCAUUAAUAUAUUAUUAAAUAAUUGAAUGGCCAAGAUUGAAGAAUGGUUACUUGUUUAAUGAGUCUGGUGUUCAAUUGUUGGUAUUUGCCUUAUGGUGUCUAACAGUAAUAGAAUUGCAUAGAUUCAUUUAUGAAAAAAAUAUUACGUAAAAAUAAUAAAAAUAUUGAAUACUAAAAAAGUAAUAAUUUUUAUCGGAAAAUAGUUCAUAAAAUUGUUUUUAUUUUUUGAAACCGUUCAUAAUUUAUUUUUAGAAAUAAUUCAUAUUUUGAAUGGAAAAUAAAAGUAUUAUUUUUUUUUUCAAAGAAAAAUAAAAUUAGUAUUAUACAACUCUAAUAUAUAUAGGGAAAGUUAAGGGUAUCACCACCAUUUUUUAAUUUAGAAUUAGAACAACUGUGAGAAAAAAAUAGAUUUUUUUUUUAGAACAUGAAACUUUAUCAUGUGUAUAUAUCCUUUAACUAGAAUGAUCAAAUGUUUCUUAUUCUGUUCAAGAUAACAAAUAUUCAUUUAAUACAGGUUUAAUGUUCAUGACAUUCUUCAUUGUAAAGAAACCUGAGAAUGUUGUUGUUUGUUUCUACUCCUAGAUGACAAAUAUUCAUUGAUUAACUCACCCAAACUAAAUAAAAUUACAUGAAAAUUAAGAAAUUAUUAGGAAAAAAAUGAAGCUUCAUUUCACACAGAGGAUGUUGUUGUUUGUAUCUAUUCCCAGAUUCAGAAAAAAUCAUUCAUCUUCAACAAUUUGGUGUUCUUUCUGCAAAAUCCAGAUCUGAGAAAUAAAAAUCCAGAAAUCAUAAAACAAACCUAGAAAUUGGUUGGCUUUAAAUCGCUGCUUUAGAUACGGGAAAACUCUAUGAUCUUCAUGGAGAACCCUAUAUCCAUUAUAAUUCAUUGCUUGGUGUUCGUCAAUCAUUUGGGAGUUCUUCCUAAAAUUCCAAAUUUAAUAAACCAUUUAUCUUCAUCUACAUUAACGUGAUCUUCUCCCUUCCCUUUUUCGUAGCAUAAAGGGAUACACAAGAAAGAUUCAUGCCCAAAAAAAUUUGUCAAAAAAGAUGAGGCGUAGAAAAGUUGGGUGGAUGAGGAAGAUGUGUUGUUGGUUCCAUCAAUGAAAGUGAAAUUGUUAGACAUAGUUGUUGCUGGUUGGUAAAGAAAAAAGAAUUUAUUUGAUUUGUGUUUAGUUGAGUAAUGACAAAAAAUAACUGAGACAACAUAUAUAAUUAUUGAGAUUCAAGUGGUCAAAUAUAUAAAAAUAUAGAAAACAGGCAGUACCGACUAUCGUAAGUAGAAGGCUACUUGGGUAUCAUACACAAAAUCAUUGAUUUGUGCAUGUUAAACGCCACCUUUAAUUUGGGUAGGUGACAACAUACUAUUCAGUGGAGUGCACACUUUCACGCUGUGGUUUUUUGUUUUUUGCUUUUGAGAGCUAAUAAUGUUGACAUGUGAUUGUGGCAGUGAUAAAUGAGUCUCACUGAUUUUCAUGUCGUAUAGGGAAAUGUGUUUCUACACUUGAGAACUAAAAUCUCUUCUAUAUAUAUAUUUGCCUUUGCCCGUGAUCUCGUAUAUACAGCUUUAUGCUGGUACGUAUAUUUGUAUUAUCUUUUUGUUUCUGUUUCUAGUAUUUCUAUUUCACACGUUCGUCCAAAGAAAAUUUUGCUGUCCUGCGUGCUUUGUGCAGAUUAGUUGUGGCAUAAGAAAUGCGAAGAAUAUAGAGGAAGAAGAUUAGAACCUUAAUUUGGAGAAGAAGGUGUUGGGUCCAGCCAUUGUCACAUGGUCAUGGUGCAUGUGAAGAUAGAGAGUUGCAUGUUUGUAAUUUGGUGUGUUGCAUAAGAGCAAGUCUUUUAUGUUUGCAACCCCAAAUCAAAAAAUAUUUAGGUAUUCUCACAUAUAAUGAAAAAAAAUUAAAAGAUAUAAAAUUAAAUGAUGUUAAUUGAUGAGACUAAAUUAAUUUUGUUUUAACUGUUUUUAUUUCAUGUGAUUGUGUCCAAAUAUUUUUGAUUUGAGGUUAUAAUCAUAAAAGACUUACUAAUGUAAAUUGUAAAAUGCACGUAAAUGACAAAUAUCAACAAGAAGAAGAAGAAGCAAGAAGCAUACUCUUGCACAAGAGAGCCCUACAAGAGAUAAAGAGCGAGAGCAAAAUAGAUCAUAGUGUUUCUUUGUGAGGGAAAAAUUAUACCCACUAAUGUGUGAAGUUUUUAUGUUCCCAUUAUGUACGGUGGAAGUUUAAGUGGCCUACUGAUCCCGUUCACUUUGAGAAGGUUUUUCUAUGUUGAAUAUUUUUUGGUGUUACUUUGCUCAUUUUAUUAUGUCACUAGGGUUUAUUUUGAGUUCAAGGAGGAGAGGGAAAUUGUUGAGGCAUUUCCCAAUAAAAUGGAGAAACUCAGAUAGGUUGAAAUCUUAAUCACACAUUUUUGUGUAGCAAAUGUGAGGUAAAAAUUGUAAUCCAUCUGGAAUGAAAUGCAAGCAAAACUGAUAGUUGAAAAAUCAAUGUAUGUGAUUAAAAAUUUAGUCUCCAUAUAUCAGAUUUUCAUCUAUCCUUUUUGCUUAUAUUUCAUCCCAAAGGAAGUAUAUUGGAUGAAAUUUUUGAGAGACUAAAAAUAAAAAUUUGAAAAUUUAUAGGGAUCAAAACAUAUUUUAAUCCUUAUUGGGUUGAAAAAUUAUUCUAAAUUUCAUCAUAAUUUUUUUUUUGGUUGCAAAGAUAAUAAAAGGAACAAACAAGAAAGAAAAAGAAAACUGAAAAAACAAGCUUAAUAUUCCCUAAGGAAGAAAGUGCCAGUGACAUCGCUUCUAAGAAGAUUGGCGAGACCAGCAAGGGACGACUCAUAAAUAACAAGGCCAACAUCAAAAGAAGAUUCAAGCUUUGUAAGGAAAUUCGCACAAUAGGUCCCUUAUCUGAGAGUGUGCCAAACCGUAAAAGUACUUUGAAGAAGUAAAUCUUUUAUGUCUUGGAUAAUGACCGUAUAAACAUGGUAUUUCUCCAUGGACCAUUAAUAAAAUUCAUUUAAAUAAGAGAGUCAGAAUAACAAACUAGCUCCGUAUAACCCAAAUCUUUGGCCAUAAUUAGACCAUAAUAGAUAGCCGAAAGCUCAGCCAACAUAAUAUCAUCUGAGUCUAGAAUAAAACAUGAUUUCAUCAUAAAUUUGAUAGAACUAACAUUGUCAUAAAUUUGCUAGCAUUAACUCUAAGACCACCUACGGUGAAAGAUUUUUUUUUCUCCCCAUUUAACAACCUUCUAAAUUGACAUGUGUCUUUAGAAAAAUGAAUGCCUAUAUAGAUGUAUGUUUUAAAUUUAUGAAAAAUGCAAAUUUGUACAUUUAGGGCACAUGCAUGUUGAUAUAAAAAAACAAAAAGAACAAAAAUUCUAGGAAAAAAUAAAAAUUAGACCUAUUGAUUUUCACUCAGUCAUAUGAUGUUUUUUUGUUUUGUUUUGAAGGACUCAGUCAUAUGAUGUUAAGAUUUUCUUUUUUACUAAUGUUAAAAAUGAGUCGAACUUAGUUCAAUAAAUAUCUGGUCAACUUUAUUUUGACAAAAGAAAAUUGAUUAACUUGAAACUCAAGUUAAUUUGUUACAAACAACUUUUCUGGCUCGAACUCACUUAAAACAACUCGCUUCAAUGUGCGGUCUAUAGGGGGAGAGUGUGUAAAAGAGUACUUUUUCAACGUGGGAAGUCAAUAUGACAAUGUUCCCUAAUUCAGACUUUUGUCCAGUGCUCCCUUCUUGUUCUUCCUAUGAUUAAAUUCAAGAUAGCAGUUGGCACAUCACAACUAGGGCCGUUCCUACGAAUUUGGAGGUACGAUGCUGGAAGUGAAAUGAGACCUAUAAUAAAAUGCAACGUUGAUCAAGCUGUAAAAUAAAAUGUUGAGGUUGAACCAUAAAAUAAAAUUAAGACAUAAUUAGUAAUUAGCAACAUUAUCAAUUAUACAUGUUAAAACAGAGAAUAAUCAAAAACUUAUAAAAUUAGGAACAGAACAGUGUCAGUGUUGUUUUGGAAAGGGGAAAACGUUAAUCUCUAUUUGAACUUCUAUAACUUAUAAAAUUAUGCAUGUUAAUCUCUAUUUGAACUUGUCAGCCUCAUAAAAUUUAUAAAAUUAAACCAUAAAUCAGCCAAUUUAGCAAUUUGAAAAACUCAUAAAAUUAAUCUCUAUUUGAAGAACUCAUAAAAUUAAUCUCUAUCAAUCGCUAUUCCAACAUUUAGCAAUUUUAACAUUCAAUAAAAAUCAGCCAAUUCCAUGAAAGGAAGUAAAAUAAAUCAAUGAAAGAGAGGUUAUUUACCUAAGGGAGUAACAGUGUCAGUGUUGUUUUGGAAAGGGGAAAACAUCAAUAGGAUGGUCGAUGAUGAUGAUGGUAUGGUCAAAAAUCGAAUUGGUUGAGAGAUGCAGUCAGAGGAAACGUUUGAGUAGUCGACAAUCGCGUUUGAAUCAUGAAGGAAGAAGAAAAACGAAAAAUUGAUGGUGAGAGGAAUGGAACGCGCGUUGGUAUGUAUCAGAGAAAGAGUAUUUUUUUUUUUAGUGGGGGGUACUGGGCUAUAAUUUUUUUUUAGGCCCAUACCCAAGGGAGGCUCGAUGCUAUAGCGCUGCUUGCACCCCAGGGUCCGGCCCUGGUCACAACCCUUUGAAACUCAAAACCAGAACCAAUAGCAACAUUUUUGUUGAAAUUUCUUGUUCUUCCUAUGAUAUUCAGACAAAAUCUUAAAUCUAUUUUGUUGAAAAAACUGAAAAUUUUGAAGGUUAAUAUCACUAUGUUCGAACGGCUACAUUGAACUAAGAACAUCUUUAAUGGGAGGUCCUUACUUAACAAGGACCACUCCCUGUUAAGAACCCCCAUUGGAGGAAGAAAAAAUGAAUCCCCAUUAAGGAACAGGUAACUAUAUAAGAAUCCCCUCUCUCCUAGGUAACUAACGGAUUUCACGUUUAAAAGAAGUAAUAAAAUAUGUAAUAUGUGGUCCCGCUUACAAAAGAAGUAAUAUUUUAAUAAUUAAUAGUUGUUUUAAAUAUUAUUUUAUCUAUUUAUCAUCAUUUUAAAUAAAAUGUAAUUCAUGCAAAUUAUUAUUAUUUUUUAACGAAUGAAUGUAAAAUUUGUAAUGAUAUUUUUUCCAUUUUCAAAUUAUUAGCAAAUGUGGCAGAAAUUUAAGUUUAUACGAAUAAAUAAAUAUUUUAUAAUUUAAUUUUUUUAAGGAUUAUAAUUAAUAAAUUAGUAAAUAAAUAUUUUUUAAGUUUUUACAAAUGUGGUCAUUUAUAAUUUAGUAAAUAAAUUAUUUUUGUUUAAUGAUGUAAAGUUAGUGGGGCCUAUUUAAGUACUUUUUAUUGGAGUCCUUAUUAGUGUACUCUCAUUGGAGCCAUUGAGUCAUUAAUAUGUAUUUUUAUUAAAAUAUUAUAAAUAAAUGAUGUGUAACAUGGGGUCCAUUUAAGGAGUCCCUAUUAAGGAACUACCAUUGUAGAUGCUCUUACUUAACAAGGACUACUCCCCGUUAAGAACCCUCCAUUGGAGGAAGAAAAAACGAGUCCCCCUUAAGGAACGAGUAACUAUAUAAGGACCUCUCUCUCCUGGGUAACUAACGAGUCUCACGUUUAAAAAAAAUAAUAAAAUGUGUACUACUUGGUCCCACUUGCAUAAAUGAGUAAUAAAAUGUGUACUACUUGGUCCCACUUGUAAAAAGGAGUAAUAUGUAAAUUAUUUUUCUUUAAUGAUGUAAAGAUAGUGGGACAUAUUUAUAUUUAAGUACUUUUCUUUGGAGUCCUUAUUAGUGUAUUGUCAUUAGAGUCAUUGAGUCCUUAAUAGGUACUUUUAUUAAAAUUAUAAAUAAGCGAUGUGUUUCGUGGGAUCCAUUUAAGAAGUCCUUGUUAGGAAACUAUCAUUGUGGAUGCUCUAAGCGUUGGUACGAAGCACAAAGAUGCAUUUAAUUUUAUAUGGUUUAUAUCUAAUCCUUUCCCAACAAAAUCAACACUUAAGGAAGAAAAAAAAUGCAUAAAAUCUUCAAUGUGAUAAAAAAAAAAGGGUCAUGUUAACUAGUGCCCCCGGGGCACUAGUUAAGAAAACUAUAAAGAGAAAAUUUUAAAUUAAAAAAAACACUUUAUUGACUUUUAAGGGAUUGCCAACACAAUUUUCAAUGUAAAUACAUACUAUAUUUAGUUCUUAACUAAACUAGUGCCCCGAGGGCACUGGUUAAGAUUCCCUGACAAAAUAGCAACUCAAUAUGAGAAUUUGAUGGAACUGUAAUUUUUUUUUUUGUAUUACUAUAUAAAUAAUAAAUGUGGGAAAAUGCAAUAUACUCGUAUACGGGUCGGUUUGAUAGACUUUUUUUUAUAAGUCUAAGCCUAGUCUAUUUAGAUUAAUAGGCUUUUAAAAAGCUCAUAUUUAACCUAUUUAUUAAACGAGUUAGACCGAAUUUUUGGUAGGUCGAGCCAUAGACCCUAACGGACGAUUUGACCUAUUCCCACAUGUAACUGAUCUGUUAGAGCACAAUACAGCUCACAAGUACUACAAAUAAGACUAAGAUAACAUAAUUAUAAGACUAAUAUAGGGUAAUUAAAAGAAUAAGAUAAAGUAAUUUUUUAAAAGACCCAAAUUAAAAACAUAUAGGACUAAGAAAAAGUAAUUUGAAAAAUAUUGUAUCAACUGUUAACAUAUGCAGCUCACAAGUACUACAAAAGUAGUACAACGAAGACCAAUACAAAUCAUAUAGAUGUACCGUAAAUAGUGUUUUUGAAAAAUUGCAUGAUAAGUAUUCUCUUCUCUCUCUUUUUUUACUCAAAUAUUCUCUUGAUGAUAAGUAUUAAAAAUUGAAAAAAUUGUAUUAAAAUUUACGUAAAUAAUAUUUUCAUGAUGUCAUAGUGGCCAGCAUUCCCACUACAUAAUGUGAGGCAAUUGAUUAUUUAGAAAAAUGAUAAACCUAAUCACUUGGACUGAAGUUUUGUUGUAACUUGAAGAGGUUGACAAGAGAUUAAUUAAAGCAUGUUGUUCUUAAAUAUUCUCUAAUUCAUUUUGUUUAUAGCAUAUGAGUAAGUGUGAUACUAUUCAAGUCUUCGCUCCUCUCUUUUUUCCCUUAAAUGCAAAUGUAAUGAUGAAUCAAAUGAUAAGAAAUGCUGAUUGAAGCAGCAGACAAAAUAAUCAAACAAAAACAAGAGGGAGCUAGCCAAGCCACAAAAAGAAAUGAAAACAGCUCUAAGUAACAAACAAGCCAAUUACGAUGAAACACAAGACUAAUUAGUUAAUUUAGUAAAAAAAAGACUAAUUAGUUAAUUUAGUAAAAAAUAAGACUAAUUAGUUAAUUAAGUAAAAAAAAUAAGACUAAUUAGUUAAAUUGAUACCAAUUAAGACCCGACCUCUAACAAUGAAGUUUGUCGCAUAUUAUGUAAAGAAGCCGAUGGAGGUACCUUACACUUUCGGUUUAACUUAUUGUACAAUUCCGAAUAAGAUUACCGAAAGUAUAAUUUAAAGACUAAAUUGUUUAGCCUAUGGAGUAUUUCAGAGACUAAACUAAUUAACUAGAUCUUAGUUUGAAUUAGUCGAUUGGACCAACCAACCAAGUUGUAUUCUCUCCAAUUGUCAAUUUCAUAUCUUUAAACUAAUUUUUUGUGCAAGUUAACUUUUUAAUUAUGUUUUGUUUUUAAUCAGAACACCUUGUAUCUGAAUUGGAUUAUGAUGUUUCAACAACAAUUAAAUUUUUUUUUGUCAAAACAACAAUUAUUAGUUAUUAUCCCUUAAAAAAAAAAAAAUUAGUUAUUAUGGCCCCGUUUGGAUAAACAACUUAUAUAGAUGCUUAUAGCAUUAGAGCUUAUAACAUUAGAGCUUACAUCAUAAACUCUUAUACUUGAUAAACUAUUUAUGUUUGGAUAUGUACACUAAAAAGUACUUACAUAAAUUGAAGUGUUUGGAUGUGACAUUACAUAAACAAUUAUCGAAAUUUUAAAUAUUUUUAAUUUAACAAAAAAAAUUAAAGAAUCGAACCACAAUUGUCAAGAUUUUUUUUGAUAAAAUUAAUCAAGAUGUAAAAAACAAUAUUAUAAUAUAUUAAUUAUAAUUAUAUAUAUAGUAUAAUCAAUAUUCGUCUUUAAAAAAUAUCAAUAUUCAUAUAAGACAAAAUUAACAUUUGAGGUGUAAAUAAAUAGUCUAAACAUCAUCAUACACAAGUAUAAUAAUAUAUGAUAAGCUUUCUUUUAAAAAAAAGUAUAAAAAUAUAAAUAUAAACUUGAGAAAUUAUGAUUGUAAACUUACCAUAUAUGUAGAUAUUAAUGUACAGUUUGUUACAAAAAAUGAAAGAUAAGUUAAGUUUAUUUUUUUAUUCAGUUUCAUUUUGUUACGAAACAAAAAAAUAAUAAAAAUCUUAGUUACGUGUGUUACUUUAGUAAGAUAAGUAUAUAACAAUUUUGUUACUCAUGCACAAUCAAAGAUAACUAACAUUAUAAUUAAAAUAUAUGUUUUUUUUAAAACAAAAAAAUAAAAAUAAAAUAUAUGUUUUGAAAAAGUGGAUCCAGAGAGAAUCGAAGGUUACAUAAAUUCAUAAGCUCCUUGUUAAGCCCCGUAAACUGAAAAUUCAGGCUUAUUAAAAUAUGGCAUAAGCAGCUUAUGAAACUAUGAUAAACUAUUUUUAUUUAUUUACCCAAACACCUUUAAAAAGGAUUAUGAGAGUAGAUAAGCCCACAUAAGCUCAAAAUAAGUCAAUUACGGAGCCUGUAUGUUUCAACAAUAUAAACAACGUGAUUCCGAAAGAAAACCAAAAGAAGUAGUUUUUCUUUGAAAAUAACAACUUUUUAGUUUUUAACAAAACAUUUUUAUAUUUUUUUGUACAAAAUUGAAUUUACCACUUUUCAUAAAUUUCUCAACAACGUGAAUUUACCACUUUUCAUAAAUUUCUCAACAAAACAUUUUUAUAUUUUGUUGUCUUAAUCAAUAUUAUAAGAGCACUCUUUAUCAUUAUUUUUUUUAAUUAAUAUGACCAAUUGAAACAAAAAUAAAUUAAACUCUAAUGGUUAAUAAGUUCGACCAAAUGUGAAUCAUUUGAAAAACUGAAGUUUAGAGGGUUAACAACCACAAAUACGACCAAUCGAUUGUCCACUUUCUUUAUUCAAUGUUUGGAAUGGUCUUCCUUCAUGUUUAGCAAGUAGCAGAACUAACAUAUUUUUAUAGUAAGCAAGAGGACUUUUGAUAUAAAUUAAAAUCACUCAAUCAUUCAAAAUGUCAAGAUAACGUAACGUGGUUGACUUUAUUAGGUAGGUAGUAUGUUUUUUAUAUUGAAUAAAUCAUUUGCCACAUGUGGCAUAUCAUAGUACACUAACUUUUUAUAUUAUAUGCACUACUAAGUACCAAUAUAAAUUAUAACCUAUAGAAACAACUCUCGCUUAUGAAUUUGAACAUCAUUUGAUCAAAAUCACAAACAAAAAAUGAUGCCUCUACGCUUAUAUUUGACAAUUGUACUAAUAGCAAUUGCAUUUUCAUUUACAUCUUUUGCAAUUGAUACAAGUCCUCAUGAAGAUAAUUUCCUUCAAUGUCUCUAUAGUUAUUCACAUAACAUAACUUCAAUCUCUAAAGUUGUGUACACAAAAACCAAUUCCUCUUACUCAUCAAUACUCAAAUUUUCAAUUCAAAACCUCAGAUUUGCAACCAAUGAAACACCAAAACCCCUUGUCAUUAUCACACCUACACAAAUUUCCCAUAUUCAAACAGCCAUAAUCUGUUCCCAACACCAUGGCAUGCAAAUUCGAAUUCGUAGUGGUGGCCACGACUUCGAGGGUCUCUCCUUUGUUUCAAAUGUUCCUUUUGUAAUCAUUGAUCUCACAAACUUUAGAGGAAUUGAUGUAGAUGUAGAAAACAGAACUGCUUGGGUUCAAUCUGGUGCAACCCUUGGUGAACUUUACUACAAAAUUGCCCAAAAAAGCAAAACUCUUGGUUUCCCUGGAGGUGUUUGUCCUACUGUAGGUGUUGGUGGACACUUCAGUGGUGGUGGCUAUGGAACCUUGUUGCGUAAAUACGGUCUUGCGGCCGAUAACGUCAUUGAUGCUCACAUAAUUGAUGUGAAGGGUAGGUUUCUUGACAGAGAAGCAAUGGGUGAAGAUUUGUUUUGGGCUAUUAGAGGUGGUGGAGGAGCAAGUUUUGGUGUCAUAGUUUCAUGGAAGAUUAAACUUGUUCAAGUUCCAUCAACUGUAACGGUGUUUACUGUUCCAAGAACAUUGGAACAAAAUGCAACAAAGCUUGUUCACAAGUGGCAGUUUGUAGCUCAUAAACUUGAAGAAAACUUAGCCAUUAAUAUUAUCUUGCAAAGGCUAGAUUUAAAUUCAAGUAAACAAGGUGAGCCAAAGUCAACAGUACUAGCUUUAUUUCAAUCCUUGUUUCUAGGAAGUGUAGAUAACCUCUUACCCUUGAUGGAAGAAAAGUUUCCUGAACUUGGUUUGGUUAGAGAAGAUUGUGUUGAAAUGAGUUGGAUUGAAUCAGUUCUUUACCUUUUUCGGUUUCCAGAAGGCGAACCACUUGAAACGUUGCUCAACAGAACACUAGCUGCAAAGGAUAAUUCCAAAGCGAAAUCUGAUUUUGUCAAAAUUCCUAUUCCUGAAACUGGUUUAGAAGGAUUAUGGCCUUUGUUUGAUGAAGAUGGUGCGGAAGAUGUACUAAUGGUAUUGUUUCCUUAUGGUGGCAUAAUGGAUAAGAUUUCAGAAUCUGAAAUUCCAUUUCCACAUAGAUAUGGAACCUUAUACAAAAUUCAAUAUGCAGUGCACUGGCAUCAAGAAGGUGAUGAGGUGGAAAAGUUGCACAUCAAUUGGAUUAGAAAACUUUAUAGUUAUAUGGAACCUUUUGUUUCAAAGUCUCCAAGAGCUGCAUAUAUUAAUUAUAGAGACCUUGAUAUUGGGGUGAAUAACAUUAAUGGAUACACAAGCUACAAGCAAGCUAGUAUUUGGGGUGUUAAGUACUUCAAGAACAACUUCAAAAGAUUGGCAAAAGUGAAGACAAAAGUUGAUCCUCUAAACUUCUUCAGAAAUGAACAAAGUAUACCUUCUCAUGUGUCCAAGGGACGCAAAUAGAAUUUCUUGGAGCUCAAAAGGUCAUAGUAAUAAAAUACAAGCUGCUUUGUUAUUUCUCAAUGAUAGUUAUCUUUUAUAUGUGUACUUUUAAUUUAUACUCAUACUUAAGAAAGGAAUGAAUGAAUGCUUAUAGAUUAGCAGUGGCAGAUUCAUAAGCUUAUUGUAAAAUGUUGAGAAGUAUGGAAAUUCCCAACAAAUAGAAAAAUAAAAUGAUAGAAAGGUUUAUUUUGGAAUUGAUAGUAUGAAGAAGCUUAGUCAAUUGAUAGAAACUAAAUAGUUUUCAUAAGCAGUAACAAAAGAAAGAUAUACAACAGAUUGCAUAAAUGAAAGCUUCCCAAAUUUUCUGGUAAACCAUAUAGGACCAAAUUAUUCUUUCGACAUAUAGAUUAAAAAGGGAGCGAAAUCAGAUUUGUCAUCACUAUUAAUGUAUUUCUUCGAAACAUAAGUAAAAUUAGUCCUCCGCUAUUAAGUUAGGGCUCUUAAAUUAGAAAAUGCAGCACACAUGUUGCGAAAGAGAGGUCAGCUAGGUAAUGUCCUAGAGCCAAUCUUAAAUUUUCAUUCAGAAAGUUAGAAGAAAUGCAAAAACAGAUUUGUUGCAGAAAAUAUGAGCAGAGAGCCAAAGAAAAUAAAGGCAACAUGUUCCUCGUUAGAACCUUCUGAGUUAGUUUUGUGGAAAGCCAUAACGACGGAGAAAAACUACUAAUAGAUUUGUCAUUGGUGUGCCUAACUGGAUUUUCGACAGAAGGGUUGAUAGUUUCGCGUCAUAUCUAAGACCUCUAACAACCAAUCAUGCCAUAUUGAAAAUGAAAAUUACUAGUAGUGCUAUUCCAAAAGAAUAAAAAAGUUAUAAUUAAAGGCUUUUCGAUUUUUCUUGUCAAAAGGGGAUCUGAUAGAAUGCAUAUUUUUCUUGAAAACAACGGUAUAAUUCUUUCUGGAGUCCUAAAUACAAGAGACAGUUGAAUCAACAAAAGUUGUUUAGGACCGGAAGGAAUAAGAAGGAAGAGAAAGCAAUGGUUUCUUGGUUUUCAAGAUUUGGGAAAGUUCCCUCAAAAAGAUUUGGCACAAGCUCCGGAGCAAGCAUAGGACCAAAAAAAGCAAGGGAUAAUGAAGAUUUCUUAUGCUUGAAAUGGUUGAUUAUCUAACUUGCUUGGCAAAGAUAUUUCUUUUUCAGAACUGGUUCAUUAGGCACUAGUGGAGUGGUAGCAGUAAAAGGUUGAGGAAAUGUCAUUGAUGGUUGGAAGAAAGAGGAGGGAAGAAGAAGGGUUAGAGCUAAUGAAGUGAGAUUAAAAUCACAAAGACAAUGGUUAUUUAUAAGGAGAAAUUGGAAAAAAACAGUUGCUAAAAUCUAGGAAAAUUAUGUGAUUGCUUAAUUUUCAGGUACAAGAAAUUGAUUGGUUAAUUUUGUACGAGCAAGUGGUCGUGGAUAUGAUUAAAUUCAGAUUUUUGGAAGUGGUUUUUAGUAACAACUUCACUCUAUUUAAUGCUAUUAUUUGCAAAAUGUCCUUCAAUGAAAUCAAUUUCCAUAUAACCAAGUUGUUUGGGCUCCAGCGGCAAGGAGUUCCUUCCAAGGACGUAUUCGGAGAAUACCGGGUUCGAUUCUCAGGGGAAACAACGCUUGGCCAGUGCGCAUGCCUCUACGCAUGAGCCGAAUUAAUUGUCCACCUUUGGUGGGUCGGAAACCGAUGCGAAAGCAAAAAAAAAAAAUCAAAAUAUAAUUAAAAGUAUUGGGUAGUUUAGGAAGUACAAUUAUGUUUUUGUUUACAUCAAGAAAAUUAAUUAAAUUUAACCACUUUUCUUAAUCUAUAUAAAAAAAAAGUUGUAUUACUCAUAAUUGAAUGAGAGAGAUCCAAGGAAAAAAGUGAAUAGAGUACUUUAUCUAACAUGUACAAGUAAAAUGGUAUUGCAUUAUGUAUAAAUAUCAUUUUUUAUCAUUGAAUUGAAAAAUCAUAUCAUAUUUAAUUUAAUUUAAUAGUGAGAUUUAUUUCACUUGUGGAUAAUAGAAUUGGCCAAAACAUAUCUAAGAAAAACGAAUUGGCCAAAACAUGGAUAUGUUCUUGGCAAAAUCACACCUUAAAGAAAAUAGUUUGAAUCUAGGUUUAUCGAUAACGGAACUUGAGAUUCAGUUAGAGCAGUUGAUAAUACGUACCAAUAGUAAACGUGAUCAAAUGGUACCUAGCAAAUAAUUUACUUAUCAGAAGUGGACUCAUGUGAACCAAACCAUUGGGAUUAUGUGGGGUAACUCAGUAGUUAUUUUUGGAUCCAGGUCUACAAGAUUUACCGUCUAACUUGUUCACGUGGAAGAUACUCGGUUUGUUUCCAAAAAAUAUGAUAUAUGUGUAGUCAAAUACUCUAAAAUAUCAUGAUAAAUAAUUUUUUUUUUUGAAAAAACUAAACUAGUCCAACCAAAUUGACAAAAUAUGGAGAUCAACCAUGAGAUCUUGAGGAAGAGUCCUAAGCCAAUACUACCGGACCAAUCCAAGUGAAUUUCAUGUUAAAUAUCAAGAGAGUUUAAUAUCAUUAGUCUAUUAGUUCAUUAGUCUAUUUUAAACAUAGAACAAAUUGAUACUUAAUUAAAUGUGUUCAUAUGAAAUGAUUUGUUUUUGGUCGAAAAUAUGAAAUAGAUUUUUAAAUAGACUAAUAACUCAUACCAGACUUUCAAAAUAUUAGACUUAAAUCUUUUACAUCUCUGACUUCAGUCUUGCAAAUAUUAGAUUAUUAAGGGUUCUAGCAGAAAAAAAAAAUCAACUAAAAAAUAGUUAGUUGUCGAAUUUCCUAUAAUUUUGAUGUAUAUUUAUAUUUAAGUUUUGAAAUAAAAAUGAAUUGCUAAGGGUAAUUUUGUUUAGCAAAAGGUCCGGUCAAUAGGUAGUUAAUUGAUAGUUAACUUUCGAGUUGCCUUUAUAAAAUUUAGCGGAAAUACGAACACUUUUUUUUUUUUUUUUAUUGUUUUUCGUUGUACAUAUAUUUUACAUAAACUUAUUUAAAUUCCAUUUUUAAUAUUAAGUUUAUACAUUUUUAAGUUUGAAAUAUAAAAAUAAUGUUCAACAAAGAUAGGUAAUUACUUUUCAAAUACCCUAUAAUUAUGUCGUCGAUUUGAGUUUAAAUUUAAACGUAAUAAAUUAAAUGGUUUUCUUAAGGUGAACUUGGUUAAAAAAAUAUCUAACCAAAAAAUAACUACAUGAUAGAUAAGUUUUGAGUUUUUGUCCAAAAAAAAUGUACCUUUUGAGUUGUUGACAAACAUACACAGACAUGAGACACAUAAAUGGAGAGAGAGAUAUAUCAAACUACAUCAAUGAAUGUUACGUCAAUAUUACACCGCUCAAUAAUACAGUAUUACAUUACGCAACAACACUUAUGCUAGACUCCAAACACUUGGUUAUUUAGAAAACUCAUAAGCGUAAUCACUUGGAUUAUGAGUCAAAAAAUCAGUUGAAUUAAAUUUUAAUUUGCUGCAAGCCUGCAACUUGAAGAGGUUGAUGAGAGAUUAAUUAAAACAUAUGUUUUUUUUAGGGGAUAAAGCAUAUGUUGUUUAUAUUUAUUAAUAUUGUUCGAGUCUUUAGUCCUCUUUUUUUUAAAAUAAAAAUAAAAAUUGAUGAAUAGAAUAAUUAGUUAUGCUUAUUGAAAUAGCAGACAAGAUAAUCAAACAUUAGAAACAGUCAAAAACAAAAGGGAGCCAAGCAAUCGAAAUACAUUAAAACAGCUCUAAAUAGUAUAAAUAGCAUACAAAUCAAUCAUAUACAAUUAAACACAAAACUAAUUUGCUUCUCCAAUAUGAUGUCACUUUGGAAUAAGUGGCUUAGACCAAGGUGUGUUCUUCUCCAAUUGUCACAUAUAUAUUAAUAAUUUAGUGCAUGCUUUCUCUGAAUUGGAUUGUGAUGUUUCAACGAUAACUAAUACUAGUAAUUAAAUUUGUUUCUAAUACAAGACGUACGGUCAUGUAUCUGUUUUCUUAAUUUAUGCAACUUUUGUAAUGGUCCCCUUGCAUUGCAUAUUUAUUGUUUAGCAAGUAGCCAUAACCACUUCUAAUUCAAACCAAAGAAACUUUAUUUUAAUAAUAAUAAAAUGUUGAAAUAAAACCACAUACCCUGUCUGUUUAGCAAGGAAAAUUUUCUAAGCUUUGUGCAUCAAGUAAAAAAGGUGAGUCAAAGUCAACAGUACUAGCUUUAUUUUAAGCCUUGUUUUUUUGGAGGUGUAGAUGAACUCAUGCCCUUGAUGCAAGAGAAGUUUCCUGAGCUUGGUUUGGUUAGAGAAGGAAUAUGGCCUAUAUUUGAUGAAGAUGGUGACAAUGAUACUGUUUCCUUAUGGUGGCAUAAUGGAUAAUAUUUCAGAAUUUGAAAUUCCAUUUCCACAUAGAUAUGGACAUGGCCAGUUAUGUGUAACUGCAACAAGGCCCUUGGCGCCGCAAAGCCUCUAACAUAAACGGGCCUCAAAAUUUGAAAAUAAAAAGCUUGUACUCACUAAGGAUGUUUUUUCUGUCCAUAAAAAAAUUACUUUAUAGUUAAAAAAAAAAUGUAUCAAAACCACCGUUGAAUACUUCUUUGGAAAAAGUUGGAAAUUUUGGGUGUGCCUGUCGUAUUAUGUGUCACAUAUAUGUGGGAUGUUAUUUAGUGUUUUGAGGUCUAUUGAACAAGCUAUAUUUGUGAGUUUGAUACCUGUUUUUGUUUAGUAAAAUACAUUUUUAGUUACUAUAUAUUUAAAUUUUCAAGUUUUGUAUUUUGCGGUGAUUAAAAAAUUCACAUUUUUUUAUUCCAUACAAGUAAUCAAUUCCAUCUAAAAAUUGAUGUCAGUUUAGCCAUUGAAAAAUCUAUACAAACCUGUGAAUGCCUUCAAAUAAUUGGAAGGUUAACAUUGAAUCUUAUGAAUGACAUCCAAGAGGGUUGUCUUACAUUGCAAUGGAUUUUAACCUAAAAAGCUAUUACGUGUUAAUCUAAGGUUAAUUAAUUUUCUGAGACUCAAGGCUUUGAUUGGCUUGAAGAAAUCGAUUGACAUUUCUAUGAUGAUCAAAGGUAGCAUUAAUAAUUUGAUCGGAUGCAACGUCUUCUUUCAAAUCUCAGCCAUGACAAAAAAAAAAAAAAAUGAAGGUUCAAGUUAGCAAAAGUGCACAUUUUUAUUUGAAUAAAAAAAAAUUAAUAUUCAUUAGUGUAAACCAAUUUAAAGCAAGAGAUAAUUAAGUAAAUAUCCCUCAAGCUAUUUAUUAUAAAAUACAAGUGGAUCUAAGUUAGCAAAUUUGUGAAGUUAACAAAUAUGUUUUAACACUAUUUUUUCAUACAUAAGACUAUUAUAAUUUUUUUCAUCAAUUGGAGGCUUUAGUUUUUUCCAAGAGCAUGCAUUCCCACUUGUUUCUAUUGAAAAAUCAUAAGCCUAAUCAGUUGGAUUAAAGUAAUGUUGCAACUUGAAGAGAUUGAUGAGAGAUUUAUUGAAUAAUCAGAUUAGAUUGGUUUUUUUUUUAAAAGAGUCAGAUUAGAUUGUUGUUAACUACUCUCUAAUUUUAUUUUAUUUUUGGUCAAGAACUACUCUCUAAUUAAUUUUGUUUUAACAUGAAUAAAUAUGAUAUUGUUCAAUUUUUCGGUCCUCUUUAUUUUUUUAAUAAACAUGCAAAAUGCAGUGAUAAAAGGAAUAAUUAGUAAUGCCGAUUGAAGUAGUAGUAGACAAGAUAAUCAAAAACGAGGACGCCAACUACCACAAGCCACCAAAAGACAUAAAAACAUAAUCUAAAUUUAAAUAGUAAAUUGUUUAAAGACUAAAUUACAUAUCAUGUGAGUAAUUCAACAACAAUUCCGAAUAAAAUUACAUAAGAUUAAUUUACCUAAAGUAUAAUUUAAAGGGGUGAAGAUCCUCUCCAUUUAACAAAAUAAAUGGAGUUUUGCUAGUUUGAGAGAGAUAGACACAAGAAAUAGAUGGUGGGUCCUACUACUAAGUGGAUUCCACCAUCAUUAAUUAUAUUUUACUUUUUUCAAGAUUUUAUGUGUCUUUAUCUCUCCAAAUUGAAAAAAUGGAGAAACGCAUAAAUGGAGAGGAUCUUAAUCCAAUUUAAAGACUAGGCUAAACUAAUUAACUAGAUGCCAAUUUGAAUUAACUGGAUUGGGCCAAGUGUCCAAGUUGUGUUCUCUCCAAUUGUCACUUGCAUACAUACUUUUAAACUAAUUUUUUGAAUCUUUUUUUAUACAUUGUUUCUACCAUAUAUUUUUGUCUCUGGAUCUUAUGAUGUUUCAACAAUAACUUAAAUUAAUAUCUUCACCAAAAAAAAAAAUAACUUAAAUUAAUAUGCAUCUAAUAGAUAACAGUCAUUUAUAUAUUGAAAUAAGAAGCGUGUGAUUCCAAUUAAUAAUUACAGUUAACUUAAAUGGACCAAUAGAUUAUUCGUUUUGUUUAUUCAACUUUUUAGAAUGGUCUUCCUGCAUGUUUAACAAGCAGUAUCAACCACUUCUUUUAGUCAAAAAAAAAAUCAACCUCUUCUUGUUAAAAUCAAAUAAAAAUAUUUAUUUUAAUGAAAUUGAUAGAGACUCAUACCUUGUAUGAUUGCCCGGGGUUUUCUUUUGUUUUGUUUUUUUAUAGUAAGGACGGGACUUUUCUAAUAUAAAAUGAUUCAAAUUCUAAGCUAUAGUUUCACGUGAUUGACUUACUUCUCUACUAUGCAUGUUGGAUUUAGAAAACUUUAACUAGUUGGAAUUUCCUUAGUAGAGAAUUUAUGAAAACAACUUUGGCAGUUUAUAAUUUUUUUUUUCUUCUUUCAAAAAAUAAUAAUAAUUGUUUUUCUAACUUAUUUUCAUAUGCUCUCUACGAUUAAUCAAGUGAUUUGAUUUAAAAGUUCUACCAAUGACACAUUGUUCAAGAAAACUUGAGAGAAUUUAUUUUCAUAUGCUCUCGAUGAUAACUUAUGAAAACAAACUAUGAUUUGAGGGACAGAUAGUUAUUUUGAUAUUUAAAUGUGUAACGAAUAGUCGCAGUAGUAUCUCAAUGUAUUUGAAUUUUAAAAUAGUCUUUGAUUUUCAUUUUGUUGGUCAAAUAGUCUCGGAAGUGACAAUAAAUAAGUAUAUUGAAGUACUAAUAUGACUAUAUUAACAAAGUAUUUUAAUGUUACAAACUAUUUUGACUAACGAAAUGCAUAAUCGUAGACUAUUUUAAAAUUUUGAUACAUUGAUGGACUAUUAUAUGGCUACUCCUUACAUACAAAAUGAUAAUUACCUUUUAUAAAUAAAACACAAUAUGUUGAGAAUAAGAACAACAACCUUAUGCAAAACUUGUGGAAUCAAAUAAGUGCACAUUUGCUAACUUAUAUGAGAAACAAAUUGUUUUUAUAGUUUUGUUACAAAAAAUAGUUUUUUUUAAACAAUUAGAUAAAGCACAAUUAUGCAAUAAGUGUUUAAUUGUUAAUCCACAUGGAUAUUUAUCUUCGAGCAUGUAGAAACCCGCCUAUAAAUUUGAAGCAUCAUAUGCACAACAUUACUAAAACAAAAUGAUGCCUCUAAGCUCAUAUUUGUCUGUUGCACUUAUUGCUAUUUUAUUUUCAUAUGCAUCUUCUGCAAUUGAUACUAAUACUUAUGAAGAUAACUUCCUUCAAUGUCUUUCUAGUUAUUCACAUAACUCAACUUCAAUCUCUAAAGUUGUGUACACCAAAACCAAUCCCUCUUACUCACCAGUACUCAAAUUUACAACUCAAAAUCUAAGAUUUGCAUCCUACAAAACACCAAAACCACUUGUCAUCAUCACACCUCUAGAACCUUCCCAUAUUCAAACAGCCAUAAUUUGUUCCCAAAAUCAUGGCCUCCAGAUUCGAACCCGUAGUGGGGGCCAUGACUUUGAGGGCCUAUCCUAUGUUUCAGAAAUUCCAUUUGUUGUCAUUGAUCUCAUAAACUUCAAGGAAAUUGAUGUAGAUGUAGAAAGCAGAACUGCUUGGGUUCAGUCUGGUGCAACACUUGGUGAACUUUACUACACAAUUAGCCAAAAAAGCCGAAAUCUUGCUUUCCCAGCUGGUGCUUGUCCUACAAUAGGUGUUGGUGGACAUUUCAGUGGUGGCGGCUAUGGAACCUUGUUGCGUAAAUAUGGUUUAGCCGCGGAUAAUGUAAUCGAUGCUCACAUAAUUGAUGUGAAAGGUAGGUUACUUGACAGAGAAGCAAUGGGUGAAGAUUAUUUUUGGGCUAUUAGAGGUGGUGGAGGAGCAAGUUUUGGAGUCAUAAUUUCAUGGAAGAUAAAACUUGUUGAAGUUCCAGCAACAGUGACGGUGUUUACAGUUCCAAGAGCAUUGGAACAAAAUGCAACAAAGCUUGUUCACAAGUGGCAGUAUUUGGCAAGUAAAAUUGAUGAAAACAUAGCCAUCAAUAUUGUCUUUCAAAGGAUAAAUUCAAGUAAAAAAGGCGAGACAACAAUUCUAGCUAUAUUUCAAGCCUUGUUUCUUGGAGGUGUAGAUAAACUCAUUCCCUUGAUGGAUCAAAAGUUUCCUGAGUUGGGUGUGGUCAGAGAAAAUUGUAUUGAAAUGAGUUGGAUUGAAUCGGUUCUUUACCUUUUUCAAUUUCCGAAAGGUGCAUUACCUGAAGUGUUGCUUAACAGAACACUAGCUGCAAACAGCCCAAGAUUUAUUUACAAAGCAAAAUCUGAUUUUGUGAAAACUCCCAUUCCUGAAAAUGGAUUAGAAGGAAUAUGGUCUUUGUUUCAUGAAGAAGGUGCCAAAGGUGCAAUGAUGAUAUGGUUUCCUUAUGGUGGAAUAAUGGAUACUAUUUCAGAGUCUGAAAUUCCAUUUCCACAUAGAAAAGGAAAUUUAUAUCAUAUUCAUUACCAGGUUGAUUGGCAACAGGAAGGUGAUGAGGUGGAAAAACUGCACAUUAAUUGGAUUAGAAAACUUUAUAAUUACAUGGAACCUUUUGUUUCAAAGUCUCCAAGAGCUGGAUACAUCAAUUAUAGAGACCUUGAUAUUGGUGUGAAUAACAUUGAUGGAUACACAAGCUACAAGCAAGCUAGUAUCUGGGGUGUUAAAUACUUCAAGAACAAUUUCAGAAGAUUGGCAAAUGUGAAGACCAAAGUUGAUCCUCUAAACUUCUUCAGAAAUGAACAAAGUAUACCUUCUCUUGUGUCCAAGGGACACAAAUAAAUUAAUUGGAGUAGCUAAGGUCACGAUAAUAAAAAAUAAGCUGUUUUGUUAUUUCUCUUUUAUAUGUGUAUCUUUUCUUUAUAAAUAAAGGUUUAGGGGAGUGGGGUCUAGAGCUAAGGGGUAAAGGCUUCAAGGCUCAAAGAGCAUUUUUAGAGAGAUAAUUACAUAUUACAUGCCAACAAGGUCUUCUUCAAUCGGGAGCAAGAAGAUUUCCACAUCUUUUUUGGAUGAGUAUCUGAUGCAGCAUUCAUCAACCCCUAGAUAUUCUAUGUGUGUAUUUAUUUUUACAUGUUUGUUUACUUUUACUUAAAACAAUGAUACUUGAAUAAAUUACUAAAGUUUGGUGUUAAACUUGACAUAUAUUUGUGUUUAUUGAAAGGAUAUUCCUGCGAAAACUGCUGGUUACACCCCCUAUAUUUGUAGUUAGCCCUUUGACACCAUUUAAUCAACAAAAUGGCCAAAGAAUGCCUAUAACUAGCCGGUAACAGUUGCUAAAACUUUCGAGAUACAUGCUCAUAUAUCUUCAACGACAACUUUGAAUGACAUCACAAGUUAGCUAAACUAUCAGUACAUUUAUUAGUUUCUCGGAAAAUAUGCUUAAUUUUGGCCUCAUGAUCUUCUUAUUGGGAACAACAAGACCUCACCCAUUAGUCGCGCUUACAUACUUGCCCUACAAACAAUCAACUACAUUAACUUUAGAAUCCAUAAGAAGCCUCCUACAUGUUAAAUAUCUUUUUCUUGUGAAUUGAAGACCCUCUUAUCAUCUACUCCUAUGCUGGUCAGAGUUAUACCGAAAAAAUUGGACAAACCUCAAAUUUAAGCACCAUUUGCAUCCCUUAACACCCCUCCGAAACAUGUUAACCUAGAAUUUUGAUGAGCACGAUCCGUAUUGAUAUGAACGCAUCCUGGCAGGGGCAGUUUCCAGUUGAUACUCAUACACGUCUUCAUCUUUAUCGUUGGUUGAAAUAAGGCAGCAUCAUUAUGGUAGUCACUCACUUGUUUGAAAACAACAAUCCGAAGUUUGUUACGUAAAUUCUAGGAUAAGUAUGUUUAAGUAAAUUCUGUUCAAGUACACUUUUGGUGAGAUUUGAGAAUUUGAUAGAGUUUGGGAUAAUUUGGCUUAUUUUGGCUUUUUAAAACCUGCCAUGAUGUUACUUAGAAUUAUGGGAUGAAACUAUAAGUUGUAUUCCAUGCUCUGUUGUAAACAUUUUGAGAAUUACAUAAGUAUUUAUAUUGUUUACUGUUUUUAUGCAUUUCGAAUUUCAAUUUGUUUGGAAAAGAUAUAUUUGCACACAGUUUUUUAGAACUAGCAUGCUCAUGUUCUUGUAUAAAAAAAAAAAAAAAAAUCAAAAUGCUCAUAUAACAUGUUGGCUGGACCACCUUCAUGUUGUUCAACCAUCGCAAGUCCUCGUCUCCAGCUAUGAAAUGACGACUUGGAAGGCAACUAUUCCAGACUGGAUCAAGGUCCAAUCCUAAAGUGUGAAGGCUUAAUAAAGAUUCUGAUCCAAAUAUGGAUCACCUACUCCUACAUAAAUAAGGCUGCAAAACAGAGAAAGGGAUUACUCGGAUCACAAUCACACGAUUACUCGGAUCACAUGUCCAGACUGGAUCUAGGUACUCUUAUCACAAUCACACGAUUACUCGGAUCACAUGUCCGAGAAAGCACAACCGCCUAACAUCCUCGUGCUUACGCGGAAACUUCAACCGUCUAUAAAAAAGGAGUCACCCACUCUAAAAAAUUAGCACACUCUCAUUUAAAAAAAGCCUCUUUAUUACAAGUACAUCAUUUUGCUCCGGUGAAAGACAACCGCAUCCCACCUACUCUGGUCGUCGUCCUUACACUUUCUUUUCCACUUGAAAUGUAUAAUUUAAAGACUAAACUAAUUAAUUAAGUGGAUUGGAUUGAACCAAGUUAUAUUCUCUCCAAUUGUCAAUUGCAUACUACAAAACUAUUAUUUUUUUGUGCAAGUUAACUCUUUAUUAAAGCUUUGUUUUAAACAUAUUUCCUUGUCUCUGAAUUGGACUACGAUGUUUAAACAAGAAUUAAUACUUAAAUAUGUUUCUGAUAGAUGAGUUCAUUUUUAUAUAUUGAAAUAAGAAGCAUGCUCCCAAUUAGCUCGCUUUCUUUAUGCAAAAUUUAGAAUGGUAGUAAGUAGCAACAACCACUUCUUAUCAAAUAAAAAAUUGAUUUCAAUGAAGUUAGAUAAAACAACAAAAGAAAAAACACCAUACCCUGCCGGCUUAACAGGGAGAACUAUUGUAUAAAAUUGAAAAAGUCAAGAUUCAAAUGUGUAGUUUCACAUGCUUGACUUGUCUACCAUAGUAGUUUUAGCAGAUACUUUAUUUAGGAGAUAAGCGUUUGAGAAAUUUUUCAUAAGUUGUUUUUCAACUUAUUUCUAUAAAAAUUCCUAGGAUAACUUAUGAUAACGGUUUAUAAUAUAUGAAAACAGACUGUUUUAUUCUUUCUUUUUUGUAAUAUAGUUUAUAAAAUGAAACGAAAAAAAUUAUACGUAAGCACUUAUUUGAUAAGCGGUUAUGUAAUAAGUGUUUAAUUUGUCUAUCCACUGUAGAUUUAUUCUCUACACCCACUAGAGUCUAAAAUCUAGCACAAGUGGUUGGUGCGAAGUUUAAAAAAAUGAAACAAAAUAAAGUUUACAUAAGCACUUAUUUAAUAAGCGGAUUAUAGAUUUCAACUCCAAAUUAUUCUAUAUACCAAUAAAAAUUAGAGCAUAGAGUGACACUUAUAAAUUUGAAGCAUCUUAUGCACAACACUACACUAACAAAAAAAUGAUGCAUCUAGGCUCAUACUUGUCUAUUGUACUAAUUGCUAUUUUAUUUUCAUUUACAUCUUCAGCAAUUGGUACUACUACUACUACUAAUGAAGAUAAUAGCUUCCUUCAAUGUCUCUAUAGCUAUUCACAUAACUCCACUUCAAUCUCUAAAGUUGUGUACACCAAAGCCAAUUCAUCAUACACAUCAAUACUCCAAUUUUCAACUCAAAAUCUCAGAUUUGCAACCAACAAAACACCAAAACCACUUGUAAUUGUCACACCUCUAGAAAUUUCCCAUAUUCAAGCAACCGUAAUUUGUUCCCAAUACCACAGCCUGCAGAUUCGAAUUCGCAGCGGCGGUCACGACUUUGAGGGUCUGUCUUAUGUCUCUGAAGUUCCAUUUGUUGUCAUUGAUCUCAUAAACUUCAGAGAAAUUGAAAUAAAUGUACACAAAAAAACUGCAUGGGUUCAAUCUGGUGCAACACUUGGUGAACUUUACUACGCAAUUAGCCAAAAAAGCAAAACUCUUGGUUUCCCUGCAAGUGUUUGUCCUACUGUAGGUGUUGGGGGACACUUCAGUGGUGGUGGAUAUGGAACCUUGUUGCGUAAAUACGGUCUUGCAGCCGAUAACAUCAUUGAUGCCUACAUAAUUGAUGUGAAGGGUAGGUUUCUUGACAGAGAAGCAAUGGGUGAGGAUUUCUUUUGGGCUAUUAGAGGUGGUGGAGGAGCAAGUUUUGGUGUCAUAGUUUCAUGGAAGAUUAAACUUGUUGAAGUUCCAUCAAUUGUGACAGUGUUUACUGUUCCAAAAACAUUGGAACAAAAUGCAACAAAGCUUGUUCACAAGUGGCAAUUUUUGGCAAGUAAACUUGAUGAAAAUAUAGCCAUGAAUAUUGUCUGGCAAAGGGUAAAUUUAAAUUCAAGUAAAAAAGGUGAGUCAAAGUCACCGGUACUAGUUUUAUUUCAAGCUUUGUUUCUUGGAGGUGUAGAUAAACUCAUACCCUUGGUUCAAGAGAAGUUUCCUGAGCUUGGUUUGGUUAGAGAAUAUUGUAUUGAAAUGAGUUGGAUUGAAUCUGUUCUUUACUUUUUUCAGUUUCCAAAAGGUUCUACACCUGAAGUGUUGCUUAACAGAACACAAGCUACACUUGAUAUAUUCAAAGCAAAAUCUGAUUUUGUGAGAAUUCCAAUUCCUGAAACUGGAUUAGAAGGCAUAUGGCCUUUAUUUGAUGAAGAGGGUUCCAAAGAUGCAAUGAUGAUAUGGUUUCCAUAUGGUGGCAAAAUGGAUACUAUUUCAGAGUCUGAAAUUCCAUUUCCUCAUAGAAGUGGAAACUUAUUCAUGAUUCAAUACUCGGUUCAUUGGCAUCAAGAAGGUGAUGAGGUGGAAACACUGCACAUUAAUUGGAUUAGAAAACUGUAUAGUUAUAUGGAACCUUUUGUUACAAAGUCUCCGAGAGCUGCAUAUAUUAAUUACAGAGACCUUGAUAUUGGUGUGAAUAACAUUAAUGGGUACACAAGCUAUAAGGAAGCUAGUAUUUGGGGUGUUAAGUACUUCAAAAAUAACUUCAAAAGGUUGGCAAAAGUUAAGACUAAAGUUGAUCCUC